rnacentral:lncRNA from 1 species
GUUGGGGAUCCUAGGAGUUCAAACAACCAAACCAACAAUCAACAAAACCAGAUUCAAGGCAAAAACAAAGAAAAAACGGGAAUGGAAAAAUACAACCCUUUUUUGUUCAGAAAUCUGUCCAGCUUCUUCUUCUUCGUUUCAGCAGCUUCUUCUUCCUUUUAUGGGUGUUUUUUCAGGCUCAGGAACAACCUCCAUGCUAUGCCAAUUGCCUUCCAAAGAGAGAGGGGAAAAACCAAUGAAGAACCACCACCCUUUUGCUAAAACGAGAGCUCCACCUUUCUGCUGGAAUGAAAGAGACCGAGAGCUCCUCUUUCUGCUGCUGCUGCUGGGAAUUACUGAGACUGAGAGCUGCCCCCUUAUUCAAAUAUAAAAUGGUAGAGUGUACAUAAUGAAGGGGUAGGAAGAAGACCAUGCCUCUGCCAAAUGAAGGGAAGACCUUAUUGUGUCAACCUCACUCCCAUCAACUCACAACAUUAGGUGGUGGGGUUAGGUGAACCAUAUCUUCACAUUCUUCACCUUGGUUCUCCUAACACUCUCUCUUGGUUGCGAAUUUGCACAUGGAAGAACUGUUCAUCAUCAUCGCCCACCACCUGCAAGAAAAAUUAACCAGUGUCAAUGUGUAAUAAAGAUAAGCACAAUCUAAAUUUACUUGCAGGUAGAAUUUUUGUUCCCAUAUCAGAGGGAUUCCUAUCAGUGUGAAUUUUAACAAGAUUAACUUCACCUUGAGACAGUUUCUCACGUAUAAAAUGAUACUUUACCUCAAUAUGUUUAGUUCUUUCAUGGUAAACAGGAUUUUUACAAAGCAAUAAAGCACUUUGACUAUCAGUAAACAUAACAGGUGUAUCAUGCAUGAAGUUCAAUUCUUUUAAAAUUCCUUUUAACCAAAUACAAUUUUUUUUAGAGCUUCGGUUAUAGCUACAUAUUCAGCUUCAGUGUUGGAUAGUGUAACCAAAGGUUGCAAUUGAGAUUUUCAAGUUAUGCAAUUGUCUCCAAGAGUAAAGAAAUAGUCUGUAGUUGAUUUUCUACUACCUUUGUAACUAGCAAAGUCAACAUCUACAUAAACCUUAAGGGUUAAAGAUUUCAGUUCUUCUCUAAUACACUAGACCCAAAUUUAAUGUCUCAACAAUAUAUCUCAAAACCAUUUCAUUCUAGCCCAAUGGUGCUUACCAGGGUUGGUGGUGUGUUGUCGUAGGCAACCAAAAAUAAAACAUAUAAUCCUAGAAAUCUAGGUAAUAGUGCGAGUAAGGAUCGUUCACACAAAAAGUGUCUAAUCUAACUUUAUGCUAUGUAAACAAUGAAGAAGGUUUUUUAUUAUAACACAACCAAUCUAAAGAAAAUAACUAAUAAGCAAUGCUAAUUGACGGAUCGAAAUAAAUAAAAAGAACAAACCUUGAUCUAAGUUAACAUCCACCGUCAAAAGUUCACAACUGAUCAUUGAUCCAUAUAUAAAUAUCAAUUCAUAUUUUUAGCAUUCAUCAUUGGAAUUAAUUUCCUAUCUAUCCUUAAUUGUAGUUAAUUAGAAAACAAGCGAUCCAAUUAACCUUAAUUACUAGACAACCUAAGAAAUGUGCUAAGGUUUAAUCUAAUAACAGCCCUAAGAAUUAGAGAGAUCGAUGAAUAUAAAUAAUACAAGCACAAGUGGUUAUAUUUGAUCUACUCAUACGUUCGUCCCAAGAUUUAACAAUUUCUAACGCAACAAGCCAUUAAAUCCUAGUUACUUCACUAGUUAAAUGAAUCAAACAAUUACGGAUUUGAUAUUAAUCAAUCAACAGAUUGUAGCAUAUAAUAAAUUAGUAGGCCUCCAAGUAAUUAAACACAACAAUUAUGAAAAUACAUGUAGAAGAAUAUUCAAUACUCAAAACAUGAAUUAAACAAUGAAAAUAAUUUAGAUCUCACAGUUUAAUUUGUCUCGAGGCUUCAGUUUCCUUUGACUAAGUACAAGAAUUAACCAGACACGAAAAUUGAAAGUCUCAAAGAGAGGAGAAGGUGAUGGGAGGCGUGUGUCCUUCUUUUGGACGGUCAUAGGGUUUAAAAAAAGGUUCUUGAAUUGUUUCCAUAAAAGUUUUAAUCAAAUAAGGAAACCAAAAUUUUUUGACUGAAAUUGUACUAUGCAACCGCAUAGUAUAUUUCGAUGAGACCGCAUAGUUCAACUAAAAUCACCCCUUCAAUUCUAUGAAGAUACAUGUUACUCAACUUACAACAUUUAUGUUUUAGCCCUCAAACACGUUUUCUCAUUUCUUGACCUUUUUUUGUCAUUUCUUCUUUUUCCAACACUUCAUGUCUUCAACAAAUUGGUCAUUAACUCUUUCACAUCCUUGUUUAUGCUUCCGGGUCAUCUUUCAACUAUUUGCACUUUGGUCCCUAAACUUUAGUUUUCUUCCAUUUUGGUCAUUUUCCACUUGUCUAUCCUAAUUUUCGCUACAUUCAUCAAUUUGCAUCCUAAAUCAAAAUACAAGAAUAAUGAGUACAUUUAGGCACCAAAUAAUUAUAAAAGCAUACAUAUUAAGAGAGGAAUAAUAUAACAUUUUACAUUCUCAUCAAAUUCUCCUACUUAACUUUCGUUCAUCCUCAAGCAAAAUUCAAAUUUACUUCACCAAAAACAUCAAGGUUGCAAUGCUAUCGACAUAAAACAACCAAACUCUUUAAAAUACAUAAUAUAUCAUGAAUAAACAUGAUCAGACAACACAUAAUUACUUAGUAAGCAUUUUCUUUCGAAAAUGGAGUAAACUAAACAUGCAGAACCUUAUGGAAAUAAGUACUCGACUCUCAUGUGUUUAAAGGGUAUGUGUUUUGCUCAAAUUCAUUUCAAUGGAAAUGAUCUACCAUAUGCUUUCAUAUCUUCUCACUUGCCACCAUUUAGAUCACCUGCAUAACACGAAUCACAAGGACUUUUCAAGGGUUGUAAGGUGGCUUUGGCAUAAGGUGGGAAGUAUUUGAGAAUGUAGCUCAAAAGCCAUCGAAACUAAUGGAGCAAAAAAAAAAAUGUAACAACUCAAACUCAAAUACGUGUAAUACAUGCAUAACCAAUCACUCCACUCACAAUUUCUUUGAUUUGCAUCUAUCUCAUUUAAUGCUAGGAGAAAAUGUGAAUAUAGAUAGUUUGUAACAUUAAAAACUAUUUCUUCCAUCACUUCCUUUUUCCUUUCUUUUUUUCGUUGUUUUUUUCUUUUUCUUUCACUCAAAACAUUACAUCGACAAUGGAACUUAUGAAUUGAAAAAAAAAUCUCAAUAUCUUAUAUUCUUCUUCGGAACCUAUUUGACUCAAGCAAUUAAGCCUGCGGGCUUUCUCAUAACCUGGUGCCUAUAGUCAACUGACUUGGAUUAAUUGGCCUAAAGUUCGCUACAAGGUCAUCUUAGUUAGUUAAUGGAAAAAGACCUACACUUAAGAUGUAAAAUAUGAUGAGCUUAAAAAAUAUUGAAGGAUAUGUAUAAAAUUUAUAUAUGAUCAAAGUUAGGGGAAGAAAAGAAAAUAUCCACACAAAAUGAGCUUUGAUUUAAAUGUUCUAAUGUGCUUUAAAUGGUUUAACUAUCAUAAAUAGAGGAAUAAACUUAUUAACAGUGAUGCUUAGCAUGUCCAUUCUCACAAAAUUAAGGUUUGGAGUUUUGCUUAGCAAGGAUUAGUGACACUUUACAAACAUGGGUCACUUAUAUAAUUUACUCCAUGUUAACUUGGACUGAGUAUGUGGAAAGGUUUACUGAUCAUUGAUUAUUCUUGUUCAUGCUAUCAACUGCAUAUUUUGAGUUAUUGUAUUGAUGUUAAAAAUUUUGAUAUUGAUCAUUUCGUCAUUUGUGACAAAAAAAUGGGAGAGUAAUUAUUUCGAUAGGGGAUAAAGACUAUAUCAAUAUCAUCUAUAACAUUAUAUCUUUAUACCUUGAAAGAGAAUUGCAUGUUGGGGGAGAUUGAUUAGAGUUUCCAAUAAGGAGAUAUUGAUUAUUUUCAUUGCAUUCCAUAUCAUAAUGUAUAGCUGUUUGAGCUUUUGAUGUUUUGUAAUACUAAUGUUUUGGCUGAUGUGUUUGAUUGACAUUAGUAUUACUUCUCAUUUAGCAUUCUUAUGUAUGAUCAUGUGCCUAAAUUGCUAUAUUUUUUGUAUCAAGUGCUUCUACAGUUGGUAUUUGAGGAGCCGCCGCCGCCGGUCACGCGCCCCACCACAGGGUGAGCCUCCUCCUGCUGGUCAUGGUUCCAUGGUCCAUUUCGCCGGAAAGUCAAUCGGUUGGCCGGAAAUCAAGUUUUUCAGAUUCGGUUAGAAUGUGAAAAUGGUGAUUUCUUGCUGGUUUUUGAUCGAUUUUUGGACUAAUAUCACUCCUCCUAGCUCUGAUACCAGUUUGUUGGGGAUCCUAGGAGUUCAAACAACCAAACCAACAAUCAACAAAACCAGAUUCAAGGCAAAAACAAAGAAAAAACGGGAAUGGAAAAAUACAACCCUUUUUUGUUCAGAAAUCUGUCCAGCUUCUUCUUCUUCGUUUCAGCAGCUUCUUCUUCCUUUUAUGGGUGUUUUUUCAGGCUCAGGAACAACCUCCAUGCUAUGCCAAUUGCCUUCCAAAGAGAGAGGGGAAAAACCAAUGAAGAACCACCACCCUUUUGCUAAAACGAGAGCUCCACCUUUCUGCUGGAAUGAAAGAGACCGAGAGCUCCUCUUUCUGCUGCUGCUGCUGGGAAUUACUGAGACUGAGAGCUGCCCCCUUAUUCAAAUAUAAAAUGGUAGAGUGUACAUAAUGAAGGGGUAGGAAGAAGACCAUGCCUCUGCCAAAUGAAGGGAAGACCUUAUUGUGUCAACCUCACUCCCAUCAACUCACAACAUUAGGUGGUGGGGUUAGGUGAACCAUAUCUUCACAUAAGUCAAUGGACUAAUAAAUAAUUCCACAAUGAAAAAAAGAAAAGUUUUUGGAGAGUGUGACAGCUUGUUUGAGAAUAUGUUGAUACUAAAUUUGGUUAUACCAAUUGUCCUGGUUAUAUUAAACAUGGUAAGAGGAUGUCAAAGUUGAUACUAAAUUUGGGGUAACCAAUUGUCCUCGUUUUACUAAACAUAGUAAAAAGACGUCAAAAAUGUUAUGAUUUUGUUCUCACAUUUUGUGUUUGUGUUACAUUUGCAGUAGUGCUGUGAAUGAUUACAUACAAGCAACUAGAAAUCUGGCAUGCGAGAUUCUUGAUUUAGUGGCUGAAGGGCUAUGGAUGGAAGAUAAAUCCAUUUUUAGUCAACUCAUUGGGGAUGUAAAUAAUGAUUCAUGCUUCAGAAUUAAUCACUCUCCUUCAGUCAAUAUGUUCAGCAUCCAAAUUGUUUGAGCAUUCAAAGACCCGUAUAGGAUUUGGAGAGCAUUCCGAUCCUCAGAUAUUAACAAUUUUGAGAUCAAAUGACAUUGGUGGCCUUUAGAUUUGUUCGCGAGAUGGUUUAUGGAUCCCUAUUCCCCUUGACUCCAAUCAAUUUUGCAUCUUUGUGACGAUAUCUUUCAGGUUAAUACAAUGCUCUAUGCUUCGAGCAAAUGCAAUUUACUGUUAACUUCUUAUUGUUUACACGAAUUGUACUUGGAUUGUGAAAUGUAGGUUUUCACAAAUGGAAGAUUUGAAAGCGUAAGACAUAGGGUAGUUGCAAGUGCAAUUAAACCUAGAUUGUCAAUGAUGUAUUUUGCAGCGCCUUCCCUAGAUGAAAAGAUAUCCCCUAUGCCACAAAUGGUCUUGUUGCAAAAUCGAGCUCUCUAUCAGUCUUUUACUUGGAGAGAAUAUAAGACAAGUAUAUAUUCCUUACAGUUGGCUGACCACCGUCUUGAUCUAUUUACAAACCAAGAGAGUUGAUUUAACAGGAUUUUGUAAUCUGUUACUAAGUGCUAGAGUAGGCCAUUUAGGGUUGCACAUUCAUGUAACUGGUAACAAGUUGCACAAUGUUUAUAAGGUGAUGAUAUAUGUGUAAAUGUGUGAAAUAAUAUUUGUUUUCUUUGCUAAAAUAGUACAUGUUAACAUGAUAUAAUAGUAUUGAAGAAGAUCAAUAGUACUAGCUAUUUUUAUAUAAUGAUAGAAAUACCCAAUAUAACCUAAUUCCCAGUAAAACUUAAAGUAUGAGAAUUAAGAUUCUAACACUCACUACAAGAAAUAUGAGUUUUACCAACCAAAAAAAGGUCGUCAAAAGUUCAAUAUUAGCUAGUAAAACCAUUCAUUGACUAGAAAGUGUUGGUCGGAAGUUGAUCGCCAAAAGCUAGCCAACAAAAGUUUUCACUGACUAGAGUACAUAUUAGUUAGGAAACGUAGAGUUUUUACUUACCAAAGUCAUGUUAGUCCGAAGUCACAAAACAAUGGUCACAAUCAAAAGCCUAUAGCAAAGUAAAUGCAAGGUUAAAUAAUAAGACAGAUGUGUGUGUGUGUAUGAAUUAGUUUUACAUGAUAAAAUAAUAAUUUGAUUAUUUUAUGCUUCUAUCUGAGUUGAGAAUCAUCUUAGUUUAGCAGCCACCGCUUUGAAUUCUACUAUGCAAUUUUUGGCCCGAUAUCGGAUCAAGAAUGGGCUCUUGAUCACCAAAGGAAAUUGCCUCUAGUUCUUGAAAGACCUUGACAAUGCUCUUCCAAAUUAAAAUGUGGUAGAUGUGAUUGGAUAUCUUUUAUUCUUAUCAUUCCAUGUCAAGCCUGCCAUGUCAAUGUGCAUCCACUGAACCUUCUUACCAACAAACUACAGAAAAAUAAUUACAUGUCAGAUAUCUCAACGACUACAUACCACAAAUCAUCUUUAGUGGAUCAUAAAAGAUAUGGAUUAAAGUACAAAGACAAGUAAUGCCAACGUUUAUUUUUACAUGCAAGUAUAACAUGUCACAUUCAACAAUUGUCAUCAAAGUAGUGUUUGAUAACCUCCAAUUUCAUGGAAAAUGAAAAUUCAUUUCCACCUUUUGCCAAAAAUGAGUGUUUGAUAGGUAAAAAAUUCUAGGGAACUCAUUUUCCAUGAUUCUUGCCACCUAAGCAAUUUUCUCACUUUUCCUUGAAUUGGAAUUCUAAUUCCGAUUUACUGUAGCAGAAUUUUAUUUUCAAUAUUUAUUUAUUAUUUUUUUUGGGCAAUGGAAACAAAUUCUAAGAAUAAUUGUAAAGAAAUAUUUUUCUUUAAUUGGCAAUUUCCAUGUAAAACAAAGCCAAAUGAAUACCAAAAGAUAGAUGAUUUUCUUUAUUUUUAUUUAUUUAUUUUUGGGUUGGCAAUGGAAACAAAUUUUAUCCCCAAUACUAGUAAAAUAUAUCCCUCUAAUUGAUAAUUUUCAUGUAAAACAAAGUCAAAUGAACACCAAAAAACACUUUUAUUUCAACGUUUUACACUAGAAAAAUUAUACCAAUCAAACAUAAUAAUUUACAAUUUUCAGGAAAAUAAUUUCUAGCAAUUCAAUUCCAUCUUUACAAUCAAAUGGACCCUAAAUUUGUUUAUGCCAUAACAAUGAGCAAUAAAUCCAUAAUAAAAUCCACUAUCUUCAUUCUCCCAGUUAAUAUUACUCAACUCUUCCAUCAAGCUUCUAAUUCCUCCUCUCUAACUUUCAAUCUGACCCCACGUCUAGCGCCUUCAUCAUCCCUGUCAAUAUUUCUCGACUCUUCCAUCAAGCUUUUCAAGUUCAGAUCUACCCUAGCAAAAUAAUCUUUGUUCCUCUUCUCCCAGUCAUUCUUAAUAAAAAGUUAUUUCUUGUUAGUUUUUUAAAGUAGUGGACCCCUUGAAAUUUGUAGUUUUACUACAAAUCUCUAGCCAAUUCCAGAAAACCUUAAUGUUUGGGGAAUAUAUUUUCAAGUCUAAAAGCUCUCCUCAAAACACCACCAUCAGAGAACAAGGGGAAGCAAUCAAACACUAAGUCGGGUAAACAAAAGUGGAUAGAGUGAAGGAACAUCUCUUUCUAAUAAGAGGAAAAUAAGAAACGAUAAUUGCUAGCAUAUAUAGAAGGGAUUUUCCCAUUAGUUAGUAUUAAGAUGAUCAUUUCCUCAAAUUUUCAAUUUUUAGUUACCAUCACAAACCAAUUUCUUCAAUUCCCUUUCCUUUCUAGGAUCAAGUGAGAACCCUUCUGCUUUCUCCUUAACAAAUGCUGACCACAUAUAGAAGUCUCAAUUAGUUCAAUAAGGUGCUCACAUACAAUUUGAGGAUACAAUGCUAAAAUAAAAUAUGUUGUCUUUAAAGGGCAUUCGGCACACAAAACAUUUGAGAAGCAGAAAGCCACUUCAGUUUUGAUUCUAAAUUAGGGCAAAAUUCCUAGGCAGUUCAACUCCAUAACUGUUUGCAAACUCUAAGGAAAUAUGCUUGAUUAUAAGCACCACAUCUAGUUAUAUAACCUACAAGGAAUCUAUACAUAACUAUACCUAAAACAUAUCAGGUGUCUUGACAAAUUCAACUAUGGAGCAAACUGCUUCUUCUUUGGCUUCACUCAUGGAUAGUUCAUCUUUACCAGAAAAAGUCGCCAGAUAUUAGACAAGAAAUUUAAAAGAACCUUUUGGGGAGUUGAAAUUGUUGCAUAAUUCAUCCAAAAAAAAAAAACCAACUAUUAGGUCCAGAUCGAAAUUAUUUUGUGGUUUUCACGUUUAAAAAUAAUUGCAGAAAUAAUAAAAGAUCAACACAAGAAUUUUUCGCCCCAAAAAGGGGCCGGAUGUUCAGCCUUUAGGCCUAAUCACCCGUUGAGCAUCUGUAACACAGAUAGAGCUCAAGAUCCUCUAAGAAGAACCAAGAAAUGUUACAAAUGUACGAAGAAACAGAAUGUUUCUUCGAUAUAUCUCUCUAGCCUCUUUACUAUAGGAAAUCACAAAGAUCAACCUCUACCAUAAACGCAUUCAACUCUCAUUUACAUAACAUAUGAAAGACUCACCACUAAGAUGAAGAUCGAAUUUACAGAGAGAAAGAAUUCAUCAAACUCUAACUGCACUCAGAGAAUGGGAAAAGUCAGAGAGAGAGAGAGUUACGAAGCUUCUACACGAAUAAAGAGCUAAAACAAAGUUAAAAUAUCUGGUCAACCAAAAGACGUGAUCCAAGGGUUGAGGAUUAGCCACGUUUACGGCUGAUACUCAUUCUUUUGAGACAUUAAAAGCGUGUUUUACAAAAAGUGCGAUUUCUUUGUGACCCCGUCCAUACUCAAUGGGCCAAAAGUUUGUGAGGUAGCCCAAAAGAAAUUAGUUUAACAUUCUCUACCUUGCUGAACAAUUCUUUUGGGGCUUGAUAGUGGACCUUGUACUUCUACAUAUGAUUACUUCCUUUGCUCUAAGUUUCUGUAAAAACAAAAAAAAAAAAAUUCAGUUAGAACAUAUACUACAAAUUGUGCUCAAAGAAUCUGGAUGCCACUUCCUCAAGUGAUAUUAAGGAUCUUCAAGCAAGUUUUGAAUUUAUUUAAAGGUAAUACCUUUGUCCCCAGAUAUGAAGGAUUGUAUUCUAAAGGUAUUUUUAUCAGUUUAAUCAUACAUUUUCUGCUAUAUUUCUUACAAAAUGAUACUUUAUAUCUAUGUGCUUGGUCCUGUCAUGAUAUACAGGAUUCCUACUUAAAUGUAUGGCACUUUGAUUAUCAGUAUAAAUCCUUACAGAAUCAUUAAUGAAACUUAUUUCAUUUAAUAAGCCUCUUACCCAAAUUGCUUCUUUCACAGCAUCACAUGCAGCUAUAUAUUUAGCUUCAGUAGAGGACAAGGCAAUCAGUUUUUGUAAUUGUGACUUCCAACUAAUACAACCAUCACACAAAGUGAAAAUGCAUGCAUAUGUGGAUCUUCUUUUAUCUAAGCCACCAGCAAAGUCAAAAUCAGUGUAACCCUUUAAUAUUACACCUUCUUGACACCUUUUAUACACUAAAGUAAGAUCAGUUGAGCCCCUUAAAUACCUCAUCAUCCAUUUCAUGGCUAACCAGUGUGUCUCACCUGGAUUUGGCAUGAAUCUACUAAGUAUACUAAUUCCAUGUGCCAAAUCAGGCCUCGUGCAGACCAUAAGAUACAUUAUUGAUCCCACAACAUUAGCAUAAGGAAUUUUCUCCAUUCUUUGAAAUUCUUCAUUAGUUUUUGGUGAAAAUUCACUUGAAAGUUUGAAAUGAUUUGCAAUGGGUAAAGUAGUAGGUUUGGACUCAAGCAUAGAGAAUUUUUCAAGAAUUUUCUUCUCAUAAGAGUGUUGUUUUAAAAACAAGAUACCAUUAUGCCUAUCUCUUUCUAUUUCCAUUCCAAGUAUCCUUUUAGCUUGCCCUAAGUCUUUCAUUUCAAAUUCAGACUUCAAUUUUGAUUUAAUAGUGUCGAUUCAGAUUUAUCAUGACAGGCAAGUAACAUAUCAUCGACAUAUGUAGUAGAUAAAUGGAUUUAGGCCCUCCAGAGCCUUUAUAAAUAGGCAGGUAUCAUAUUUGCUUUUUACAAAUCCCAAUGUCUGCACAUAAGAAUUGAAUUUAAUGUACCAUUACCUAGGGGCUUGUUUCAGCCCAUAAAGUGAAUUCUUUAACAGGCACACCUUUUCAAUUUUGGAUCUUACUUCAAACCCCAUGGGUUGCUUCAUAUAUAUUAUCUCAUCAAGGUCACCAUUUAGAAAUGUUGUUUUGACAUCAAGUUGUUCCAAAUCCCAAUUAAAAUGGGCAGUUAGAGCAAGUAAUAUUCUGAUUGAAGUAUAUUUUGCCACAGGUGAAAAUAUUUCAUUAUAAUCAAUUCCACCUUUCUGAGUAAAACCCUUGGCAACUAAUCUGGCCUUAUAUCUUUUAUCUUCAGAAUUUAUAUCCCCUUGUUUAAUUUUGAAAAUCCAUUUACAAUCUACUAUCUUAUGAUUUUUAGGUUUAUCAACAAGAAUCUAGGUUCUAUUUUUAAUAAGUGAUUCCAUUUCUUCAUUCAUUGGCUUUUUCCACAAAUCAGAAUCUGGAUGAGUAAUAACUUCAUCAUAAGUAGUAGGUUCAGAGUUUAAAGAAUCAAGGGCAAAAAAUAGAGUAACGAAAUCAUCAUUGUUAAAUCUGGAGGAGGGAAUUAUUAUUCUCCUUUCUCUGUCUCUAGUUAACUGAUAGUUUUCUAGAGUAGGAUCAAUAAUUUCGUUUUCAUUUUCAUGUUCAUCUUGCUCAUUAUUAUCAUCAGAUUGAGUGGACUCCACCUUAAUUCGAUCAUCUUGAUUAUUAGCAUUUUCAGUUUGACUUUGUAAGAUGGUUUCCCUUAUAGAUGCAUUUUCACUGACUUUUUCAUCAGGUGAUUCUUUACAAGGCAUGCCUUCCUCAUUAAAGAUGACAUUUCUAUUAAUGAUCACCUUAAAACCAUUCUGGCUUUUGACCCACAGUCUGUACCCUUUAGUUUCCUUCCCAUAGCCCAGAAAAACACAUUUUAAGGACCUUGGUUCAAGUUUGCCUUUACUUUGAUGUGAGUAAGUAGAGCAGCCAAAAACUUUAAGUUUAUUGUAAUCAGGUGUAUGUCUAGACCACAAUUUUUCAGGGACUUGGAAAUCAAUAGCACUGGAUGGACUCUAUUUAUUAGAAAAGAUGUUGUUUUUAGGGCUUCUCCCCAGAAAAACUUUGGAAGACCAGAACUGUAUAACAUACAUCUCACAUUUUCCAAUAGAUAUCUAUUCAUUCUCUCAGCAACUCCAUUUUGCUGAGGAGUAUGUGUAACAGUUCUGUUUCUUAGAAUACCAAAUUCUUUGCAGAAUGUAUCAAAUUCCUGGUUGCAAAAUUCAAGUCCAUUAUCAGUUCUCAAUGCUUUAAUUUUCUUGUUGGUUUGAUUUUCAAUCAUGAGUUUCCAUUGUUUGAAGGUGUGAAAGGUAUCAAAUUUUUGUUUCAUCAAGAAAGUCCAGAUUUUUCUUGAGAAAUCAUCAACAAUUAGUAAAUAAUAUCUAAAUCCACUUAAGGUGUUUAUUGAUGCUAGGCCCCAGAGGUCAGCAUGUAAAUAUUCCAGAAUUGAAGUGGAUUUAUGGAUUCCAGGUUUGAAAGGUAAUCUUUUCUAUUUUCCUAGUAUACAGUUUUCACAAAAUUCCAGCCCUUCAAUUUUAUCAUUUCCAAAACAACCAAGUCUUUUCAAAAUAGUUGGUCCAUUUUCAGAAAUGUGGCCAAGUCUAUUGUGCCAAAUUAAGGACUUAUUCAUUUAAGAGUUUAGGGCUGCACUGCAGUGACUUGCAAUUGGUUUUGCAAUAAUGGUAUAUAUACCAUUUGUUUUAGGGGAGGACAAUACAAUUUUAUUUCCUUGCUGUAGUUCUAGGAGGCGUUUAUUUAUCAUAAUAGUGUAUUUAUCAUCAAGGUCUCCUAAGGAAAUAAGGUUUCUUCUAAGUUCAAGCACAUACCUAGUGUUCUGUAGUUCAAGUAUAUAGUUAUUCUCUAACUUCAACUUAACCUUCCCAUUUCCCUUUAUUUGACAACUCAUAUCAUUUCCCAUUUGAAUUUGCCUUCCACUAAGUUCAACAAAAUCAGAAAACCACUCUCUUUUGGGACACAUGUGAAAUGUACAUCCUGAAUCCAGGACCCAUUCUUUUGGGUCUCCAUAGGAGGUGUUAACAAGAACAACACCUUGAAUAUUAGGUUCAUUUUUGCAGGCCACAACUGCAGAACCAUCAGGAUUAUUUCUUUCUUUCAUAUCAAAAAUUUUCUUAAAACAAUCUUUUAUUAGAUUUCUAGUCUUUCCACAAUAAUAACACUUUCUGAUAUGAUUUUUUGUCUUCACAUGAUUCUUAUUCUUUUCUUUGGGUUUGGGAUUAGGAGAUUUCUAUUUCUUAUGGAAAUUGGAGCUUUGUAGAUAUUGUUUCUUGAUUUGAUUUACCCUUUCUUUUAUGUACAACCCUUCACCAUACUUAAGAUCUUUUGUUUCAGCCUUUAGUUCAAGUUCUCUAUUUUUUAAGGCUGCAGUUAUCUUAUCUAUGCUAAGUUCUUGACCCCCAUAUUCCAGGGCAUUUCUGAUGUCUUUAUACUUUUCACUUAGUGAGUUUAAAAGAGCAACAACUUGUUGAUCAUCAAAAAUUUCCUCAUCACAGUUAUCUAAGUCCUGAAUCAAUUUAUUAAAUCUGUCAAGGUUUUCUUCUAGAUUAGAUGAGGGAUCAAACCUGAAGUUAUAGAAUUGCCUAAGACGAUAACAUUUAUUUGGCAUGGUUUAGGUUAGAUACAGAGUUUCCAAUUUAAUCCACAAUGCAGCAGUAGAGGUGGUUUCUCCUACUUUUCUAAUAACACUAUCAGAUAAGUGUAAGAAGAUUGUACUCCAUGCAGUAUCAUCUAUCUCUUGUCUCCUAUGGGCACUUAUUUCUGCAACCCAUUGCCAUCAAGGGCUGCAGCACAUCUUUGUUGUAAAAGUAAUGCCCUCAUCUUCUGGCACCAGAGACUGAAGUCUCCAGUGCCAGACCAAGUUUCACGUUCAAAUUUAUGAGUAGUGGACAUAAUGACAGAUUCCUAGCACACAACAACUAUCAUACAGCACUUAGAAUAUUAUGAUUCAGGCAAGUUAUUGUACUUAGUAAAACGAAAAACAGAUAAUAAUGCAGGAUAGUCUAAAGUUUAUGCCUACUUAUUAUACAAUUCAAGCAGUCAAUAAAUGAUGUUUCGAAAAAGGUUUAAGGGCUGGUAAUUCUUGAUUCCACUACUCCCUCAGAUUCCCAGAUCCUAGCAGGAGAUCUUGGACAAAUGAAAGUAAUGGAGAAUUACUUACCUUAAUAACCAAUUUCUAAAACAUAACAAAAGAAUGACAGUUUAUAGAGGGGGUUUCAAGAAAAAAUACCAGAGCCUGAAACUCGACAGUUUCAGAUUAAGGGAAGCACUAAGAAUAUGCAGGAUACGAAUCAAGCUUAGGAAUCCAGGUUCAAGCAAAACCAACGAGUCACCAAGACUCAGUACUGACUCAGCAAGAAAAAUAGAACUCAGCAGAACACUUAGUGAGUCAACACAACUCGUCAAACUCAGCACGAGUCACCAUAACAAGUUAGAACAAGAAUAACCAACAGUUCAUAAAAUAAAAAUAAUAAAAAACCUUCAAGAUUCCAGUAGAGACGGUAAAUAAAAAAAACGAGUUCAACUCCGAAUUAUAGAAUUUUCAAAAGAAGGCAGUUUACUAUUUUCUGAAAAAUAACUUCGAUUAUGUAAAACAACAAUUUUUAAAAAAAAUUUAAUUCGAAGGUUUGAGAUCCGCAAUAUACAAAUGGAGAACAAAAGAAUUUUAGAGACGAAAGGACAGAAAAAAAUUUCCACACAAUAACUCGCUCUGAUACCACUGUUAGGUUCAGAUUGAAAUUAUUUCGUGGUUUUCACAUUUAAAAAUAAUUGCAGAAAUAAUAAAAGAUCAACACAAGAAUUUUACGCCCCAAAAAGGGGCCCGGAUGUUCAGCCUUUAGGCCUAAUCACCCGUUGAACAUCUGUAACACAGAUAGAGCUCAAGAUCCACUAAGAAGAACCAAGAAAUGUUACAAAUGUACGAAGAAAUAGAAUGUUUCUUCGAUAUAUCUCUCUAGCCUCUUUACUAUAGGAAAUCACAAAGAUCAACCUCUACCAUGAAAGCAUUCAACUCUCAUUUACAUAACGUAUGAAAGAAUCACCACUAAGAUGAAGAUCGAAUUUAAGGAGAGAAAUAAUUCAUCAAACCCUAACUGCACUCAGAGAAAGGAAAAAGUCAGAGAGAGAGAGUCAAGAAGCUUCUACACGAAUGAAGAGCCAAAACCAAGUUAAAAUAUCUGGUCAACCAAAAGACAGGAUCCAAGGGUUGAGGAUCAGCCACGUUUACGACUGAUACUCAAUCCUUUGAGGUGUUAAAAGCAUGUUUUACAAAAGUGCGAUUUCUUUGUGACCCGGUCCAUACUCAAUGGGCCAAAAGUUUGUGAGGCAACUCAAAGGAAGUUAGUUUAACAACAACAAUUUCAAUAAUCUCGUAAAUAGAGAUUUCACAUGUUAUGAAAUUACUUGUUUCAUUAUGUGAUCUAACUUGAUCAAACUCUCACAUAUAUAAUGAAUCUGAUUUAUAUUUCAUGUUUCUGUGACUUGUCAGCUACUUACAAUAUGAAUAUCUUAAAAGCAGAUCUAACUGGCUUAUAUCAUAUUAGAAAAAAUCAUAGCCUAAUCAUAUUACAUGUGUCAUAAGGAGCAUGCUCCACCCAGUCAAAGAAAUUACUUUAAAUCUGAUUAUCUCAAUCCCUCCGAACAUCAAGCUCUAUGGAAAGUGCAAACAAUCAACUUCAAUAAUGGUGCCAUAGCCUUCAAAAUACUUUCUUCAGUUAUUAAAAUGCCUCCAAAACAAUACCAUCAAAGGUUUUAAAAUAAAAUUAAGGAAACAAACAGAAAGUGGUGACCUAACAUCUGCACAAGGACUCACAAAAUUAUAGCUAAACUGAUAUUUCUGACUGUAGCAUUUUCUCGAAUGAUUACAACUCAAUCCAAAAUGCACCAGAAAAACCAAAGCAAGAUUCAAGAAAUUCAAAUAAAGUAGCAGCAACAGCAAAUUAUUGACGCAGUUUUCCCCACUGUCAACAUCAACAAGUGGCCGCUCAAAUUCGCUGCAAGUCCGGCGCCACUGGGAAGACUACUGACUGCAAGCUAAUAAUCGAAAUGGAGACUCAAUUUAAGCCCAGUUAUCUUCAAGCAGAAAUACACGAAGUUUGGCCCACAAACGAAUAAGAAGUAGCUCGAAAAGUGAACAUUAUGAAAUUUAUGGAGGGGUGUAAUUGAGAAAAGGGGGAAAUGAAAAUUAUUAAGCUUGGUGAAAUUUUAAGCGGGAUAGAAAAAUUCGAGAGAGAUAUUGUUUGAAAGUGUAUAAUUGUUUUUAUUAUUUAUUAAUAAUAAAAUUAUUAAUAAAUGCAUAUUUAACUAAUUAGUAACUUAAUUUUUUUAUAAUUUUUUUAUGUGAUACUUCAUUAUUAUUGGAAAUUAUUUAAUUUUUUUUAUUAUACAAUAGAAAAUUAUUCAAAACUUUUAUUUAGAAUUAAUAUCAUUAUUUAUAGCAUAACUAAAUUUAUUAGGUUACUCAAUUUAUCAUGUAAAUACUGAUAGUCGCAUUCUUGCAGCGUCAAUUUGAUAGUCUAACAAUAAUUAAUCAAGAGAUGGUGAAUUAGUUUUAAAGGGUAGAGAGGAUGCAUCUAAUGUAAUUGUGGAAGUUCGAUCCAAAUCAAUGAUCUAGUUUUUCACUACCAAGCUCUUAAUCAUGAGUAAUGUCUUUUCUCUAUAUUGAUUAAUUUAUUGUGCAAUUCAAUUCCUUACAUGCUUCUAGUAACUUACAACAUGAGACUAACAUUUUAAUGAAUAGUAAUAAAUUAUAUUUCAAGUGUCAGAUAAAAAAACUUUUAUAAAUAUGAUAAUUAAAAAUUUGAUACAAUCAAUCAAAAUUUUUCAACGAGAAGAUGAAGAUGAAAUAAGUGCACAAGUUCAUUUUUUUUUUUUUUUCAAAAUAUCUCUCUUUUUUAAUGAAUGUAAUGUAAGCUAAAAAGAUUUUGUUCAAAUAUUUACACUUAAAAACUCUUACAAUUAGUUCAAAAAGAUUGUUUAAUCCUUCUUUGAAGUUUGUCUCUUAAGCUCUCAUCUUGAUCUUUUUUUUAUGUUUGACUUUUAAGCUAUUGUCUUGAAGGAUUUUGUCUUGAAUGCUUGGAAUCUUGACUUCAAUCUUGACUUUUAUUGUGAGUCCGAUUUGAUAGUCUUGACACUUCAGUUUUGACGAUGGAUGAUCGAUUUAUCAUUGGAUGCUUGAAGACUAUAAUCACUUAAAUUCAAUUGUUAGUGAACAACAUUACCUUGUUUACUAUAAUCAAAAUUUUAAGGUUAUAAUUAACCAUCCAUCAAUGCAGUUCACAUCUCAAAAAUACAUCUCUUGUAGGUGGUAAUCUCACUAAUGUCAUGCUUGCGACAAAUGGAGUCUAAUGUAAUCAUGUUUACAUUUUACAUUGACUCUGGUAACACAGUAACCAAAUAUGUAAUUGCUUUAAAUUUCAGCGUUACAAUUGAUUGAAUUUAGGUCUUUUCUCAUUCAAUUCCUCCUUUUGUCUAUUUUUUCCACUUCACAAUUUUAUUAUUCCUAAUUACAUUUUCAGGUAAUUUUAAAUUAUUAAGAAAAUCCAAUCUGUUCCAAUUCUCAAAAUUCAGUCUAGUCUAGUUUUAAAAAAUCCAGACCAAAUUACUUGAAGAGUAUUUUUUUAAUUAAUUAUUUUAUUUUUUCAUCGAUUUAUAAAGCAUCCAAUGAAAAUUAUCUAGUUUGUGAUCAUCAAAUAUAUAUAUUUUUUGGUAUUAUAAUAUAUUCAUUCUUCCAAUUCCAUACUUAUAAUAUUUGACAUUUUUAGAUAGCUUCUAGUAGUUUUUCUCAAUUUUUAUUCAAUUAGUGCAAUUAAUACAAAGUAUAUAAUCAAAUUAAGAAACAUAAAAAUAUUUAAGAUUUGUUUGAGAAAAAUAUUAAUUUCUCACGUUUUCUACAAUUUUUGCUUCGUUUGUUCGUAAUUUUAACUCUUUAGAACAUAAAAAUGGAAUUUAUAUUCAUUUCCACAAAAUAAAAUUUUAUUGUGUAUAAUGUUUGUACUCAAGCAUACUUCCUGACCUAGCCAAAUGCUGUCGGAUCUAAAAAUCCAAGUAUAUGCUAUGCUCGACAGAAAUUUUGGGCCAAAAUUUGAUAUUUACCAAUCCAUUUCACUUGGUUGCCAAUUAUGCCUCGAUUAGAACGACUAGUAUCUAUUGUUGUCAGUGAAUGUAUGGGUUCCAACAAAAUAUUUUGGUCCAAAGAACUGUUUUACCGACUCAUUUCAUAUGGUUGGCAAUUGCAUCUCGUCAAAGUCGGCUAAUAAUUUUCUUUACCGCUAAAUAUUAAGGCCUCAAAUCUCCCACCAAAAAAUAGUUUAAAAAAUAAGGCAUUCAUCGACUUUUUAAAAAUUGGUCGGCAAAUAUAUGUCUCAUCUAGGCUGACUACUAUAUUAUCUUGGUCAAUAAAUGUUAAUGUGUCACGUCCUGUCAAAUGUUUGGACAAACUUAUAAAGACAAAAAGUGGUACGUACAAUCUCCACUAUAUUUUAACUAGCAAUUAAGUUAUAAUCUUUCAAUUUUUCUUUAACUUCCAAUUUCCUUAACACUUGAAUCUUCAGCAUAUUCUGUUAGGGUUCUUUUCUCACACAAUUAAUAAAAUUGGCAAAAGAAGACAACCAUAGUGCAAGAAAAUAUAAAAGAACACCACAAAAUUGUUCACCUAGUUCGACAAUCGCCUAAUUUGGGGGGUUCAGAGAUUAGCCCGAUUACUAAGCACAUGAAAACCGUUCAAAAAGAGAGUGCAGAUUUGGAAAACUCAAUUAGACCUAGACUUAGUCAUCGAUCCGCACAUAGAUCUCUUAAAUCUCAAGACCUAACCAAAAACACGAACAAGACUUUCUGGCAAACACUACACACAUAAAAUCAGAGAUCGAAGAAACUAGGAGAAGAAAAUUGAGAGUCCAGAAAAGAGAUACUCGAAAAAUCUAGAGACCAAGAAAAAGAAAAGUAACCUCCAACUGUUCAGCUACCCAACAGUCUCAUAGUGGUGUGUUUUAAUCUCAGCCAUAGAUGGAAUCUAAUGGUCCAGCAUUCACUUGAAGAAGCACAAUCCAAGUGAACACAAAAGAGCCAAUCAGGGCGUCCAUCUAGAUUAGCAACAAUAAAAGGGUUGUAUUUUUUUGAAAAACACAUUUUAUACCCCACAUUUUUCACCUUGGUUCUCACAAAAUCUAACUCUCUUUGAUUGCUUAAGUGUGCUUAAUUUUGGCUAAUCCUACAUUAUUGUCCAUGUACUUGCAAAAGAAUUAACUUGCAUAAAUAUUCAAUAAAGGUAAACAUGCCUUAAACUUACUUACAGAUACCACUUUAGUUCCCAUAUUUGAUGGGUUUUUAUCUGUUUGAAUCUUAAUCAGAUUAAGUUCACCUGCAGAUAAUUUUUCUCUAAUGAAGUGAGACUUCAUCUCAAUAUGUUUGGACCUUUCAUGAUACAUUGGAUUUUUGUAAAGUAAUAACGCACUUUGAUUGUCAGUAAAAAUUGUAGGAGUGUCAUGCAGAAAGUUCAAUUAUUUUAAAAUUCCUUUAACUAGGUACAUUCUUUUAUAGCCUCAAUUAUAGCAAUAUAUUCAGCUUUUGUGCUUGACAAGGUUACUACAAACUCUAACUAAGAUUUCCAUGUAAUGCAAUUAUCAUCUAGUGUAAAAAAAUAUGACGUAGUAGAUUUUCUUCGAUCUUUAUCACCAGCAAAAUCAGCAUUUACGUAUCAUUUUAAAGUCAAAUUAUUUGAUCCUUUUUAUACACUAAUCCCAAAUUUAAUGUCCCAUUAAUGUAUCUAGCAACCACUUUAAUCCUGUCCAAUGUGGUUUCUCUGGGUUGGACAUAAAUCUACUUAAAAAACUAAUUGCAUAAGCAAGAUCGGGUUUGGUGUUAUCAUAGAAAACAUAACGGGUGCUAUGGUAUUGGCAUAUGGGAUGUUUUCCAUUGCCUUAAUUUCCUCGUGUUUUUAGGGAAUGCCUAGUUGAUAGAUUCAUAUGAGCAGCCAAAUGAACAUUUACAGGUUUAGACUCUUUCAUGCCAAAUUAAGUUAGAACUUUAUCUAGAUAAGAUUGUUGAGUGAGUGUUAAUCUAUUCUCAGAUCUAUCAUUCUUAAUAACCAUUCCUAAAAUCCUUUUGGCAUUACCUAAAUCCUUUAUAUCAAAUUCUGAUUUUAAAAGAUUUUUGAGUCUUAAGAGUUCAGUCUUGCUUGCAUUAGUUAGAAACAUAUCAUCAACAUAUAACAAUAAGUAAACUUAACAUCCACUCUUAGCAUUGUUCUAAUACAGGCAAUCAUCACACUCACAUCUUUUAAAACCAACUUUGAUAGCUUAUGAAUCAAACCUUUUAUACCAUUGCUUGUGACUAUGUUUAAGUCCAUACAACGAUUUUUGCAAUGCACACACAUAGUUAGUUUUACCCUCCAACUCUAUGCUUGUUCAAAAUAAUUCAACCUACUGCUUCAAAACGUUCUAUCACAAUCCGCUCAAAAUGAUAAUUUUAAUCCCUACCAACUAAAUUGUAGUUUGUAAAUUGUAAAUAGUAGAUUCAAGUAACGCAUAAAUGAUAAACACCGCUAAUAUUAAAUAGUAUUACUACAUAAAUGUAGAUUGAAAAUAAUGGGGAUGAACCGAGAAUUGGCAAAGGCUCUAUCAGCUUGAAAGUUUCGUUGCUUUCCCUGGACAAACUCAUUAUGUCGACAAUGCAAUUGAUAAAACGGUUUGUGUAUGUGAGAACUUGAAAGUCUCUCAAUGCUCAUGAAGCGCUUUAUGUGUAACUAACAAUGACAACAUGCUAUUUAUAAUCAACUUGAAAGGAGAAAGCAAUUAUGGUCAUUUACUACCCAACCACAAAGUCCAAUCUCAUCUAAAUUUAGUUGGUAUGAUGGUUCAAUAAAAUAAUUGUACCUUUAUCCCCCAUUUUCACAUAAUUACUAAUAUAUUGUGACUCUUAAAUCAUGUGAACAAUGGAGUCAAGUUUCCUGCAACUCACAUUAUGCACUUUGUAAAGUAGUUGUAACUUGGUUGUCAUGGUUUUGGCAUAAUUAUAAAAAUGACUCAUCAUCUUAAUCUAAUAAGAAAAUAAACUCACAUUAACGUCUUUGUAAAUUACUUGUAGCAUGAUUUCUUGAAAUGGAAAAAUUUUAGUGGCUAGUCAUCUUAACCCAAUCAUCAUUGACGAACGAAUCUGUAAUUGGUCUAGAAAGAAGAAAAUAUGGUCCAAGUAAACUAAGAACUCUUACACAACGUGCUCGUGCCUUCAUUACAAAACAAACUAUAGUGUACAUAACCAUUUAUUAUUUGCAAAAUUCAUGCAUUCACUAUGCACUAACCCCACACUGCUGAUCUUCAGUUAUCACAUUACAACAUUCAAACUAAGAAACAAUAGACCAACUUCUAGCACAUUAGACCAACUUCCGCAACCCGGCAUUUUCCGGAACGAGGAAUUCAAACUCCAUUUCUCCUACAAGGUACAGUGAGAAAAACACGGAUUCGAUCAUGAUAAAACAUAGCAAUGUAACAUGUAAUGAAUCGAACUCAUGCCUGUAGUGAGGUAAACUGUUGAGAAAACUGACAUCAAUCGUCGGUAUGGAUAGUUCAUCUGUCGAUACCAACAGUUAAUCUUGAAAUAUGCCUGAGAUUCUGUCAUCUGUCGAGAUUGGUAGAGUUAAUCGGUCAGGAACGACAGUUCAAGCAGCCUGCACACUUCAGCAAUCUGCUGAAAUGUACACAUGAGACAUAGAAGUUUGACAUCUACUAUACCAUUUCUAAGCAAUGCAAAGACAUUUUGUAGAACGAAAAUGGAAUUACCCACACUUGGACAUAUUGCACUAUCAUAUGAAUGCACACGUGCAUGAAGCAAUAGUAAAAACAUUUGUUAGAAAAUAUGUUGCUCAAGAAGUAGAAGCCGAAAAAAUGGAGCUAUAAAUACACAGUGAGCAAAAAUCAUGACAAUGACUAAUUAUUCACCUUCAUUACAUGUUAUAUUUUGCAUAUAGUAAUUACAUUUCUUACAAACCAAAAUUGUCUACGGGCUAGAAAGAUCAAAUUGCAACCCAUAACUCAUUUUACAGUAAGAUUGUUGGCUACUAGAUUGAGAUCCUAGAGAAUCUUUUUAAGCUAUAUUAUUGGCCAGAAGAUUGAGAUUCCAGUGAAUAUUUUUAGCUAUAUAUAUUUACCAUAUUUUCAUUUUGCCACAUUAGUUUUGCCGUUUGAAAUUAGAGAAAACAAAUAUAAGCAACCCUGUCUUUCAAACACUACAAUUGACUAAAGAUUGAUUCAAAUUCAGCAAAAGGAGCUAAUAAAAAAUCCACAAAAUUAACAUUCCAGAAUUCCCCAACUAAUUUCCUAAAGCUUACCAAACAUUGAACGGUCUUGGUGGAUAAAAUAAGGUUGUCAUGAUCUUGAAAAAAACACUGAGAAGCACCAGCAUCGCCAUGCCGCUGACCACUGCCAGAAGCGACUUUUGUAGAUUUCUUCUCCUUCUUCUUACAGAUAGGAAUUUCUGAGUUAGGGCUUUGAAUCCUUUGAUCGUCCAAAGAGAUGUAUUUAAAUGAUGAGAGGGAGACCAAAAAGCAAUAAUGUGAAUGAUAUAUUUAUAUAUAUAUAUAUAUAUAUAUAAAAUAUCGAAUGGAUCCCAAAUUGACGGGUUAGUGUGAGCUUAUCCAUGCGGUUAUGCUCUAGUCAAAUAAGUUUUUAAUGAAUGAUAUAUAGGGUAUUUGAAUUAUCUAGAGGGGCAAAAAUAUUCAAAAUUGUUCAAAAUUAACAAUCUUGCAAAGACCUAAAAAAUGUGACAUUUUUGUAAACGCAAAGCAAAAAAUUGACAAUUUUGGUAAUUUCCACUUUUUUUAGUCAAAACUAAACCAAAUCGGUCAAUUUUAGAUCGUUCUGAUUGAAUUCUGGCACUGUUUGAGCUGUAUUCUUUCAAAAAAAAUAAAUUCUCAAAAAGUGAUUUGACAUCAUUUUGAUAACACAUUUUUCAAUAAAAUAAUAUUACACGCAAAUACCUAUAGGUAUGAUUUGAAUAAUACCUAUACGUGCUAAUGCCUUGAAAUAGAUUAUAUAUUUUAGCAUUGUCUUCUUUAAGUUCAGCAGAUCCAGUAGGCGCAGAGGGUACUCGACUAAUAUUUGUAUCCAUUCGUUCACCAUAUAAUUCAUACAUUUCCCUUAAAAUUUGUUCUAAAUUUCUAUAUAUGAUAAGUGUACCAAUAGUAAAAACUUUAAAAUUUUUAUCAAUUAUAUAUUUAGUUCCCAAUAAAUUAUAUCGGAGGUCCAUUAUCCAUGUUAAAGGAAAUAACAUAGGUAAGUCUUCCCAAUAUUUUCUAAACUUCAAUUCCAUGGAGUAUAUAAUUGCACUAAAACUAGGAUCAUUUUUAUAUUUAUGAAAGGUCUUUGCAAUUAUAUAAAGACGUUCUACCACCGUACAGCUAAUGGGAAAAUUUUUGUACAUUCAUAAAAAUUUGUCAAAAAUCUUUUAACUUUUAAAGCUAAAAGCUAAUCGGAUUCGUUCAGAAUAGUGUCGUCAUCAUUUCUAAUAUAUCUAUUGUUGUAAAAUUUAGUUAUUACAUGUUCAAAAUCUUCACAUGACUUUAACAAUAAAUAAGUGGAGUUCCAUCUAUGAUCUACAUCACUACCAAAUGUUUUUAGAAUUCGGCUCUUCAAAUUGGACACAAAAUUUCUUAAAUACUUGUUUUCUACUAGGGGAGAUCAUGAUAUAUAAUGUGCAUUCUUAAUUCUUCAUUUUUCAUCUUUAAUGUGUUUCAAACCAUCUUGCACAAUUAAAUUUCAAAUAUGAUAUACACAAUGAAUAGGAAACAAAUAACCAUCGAAGCCAUGCUGUAAUACCCUACACAAUUUAUCGAUAACUACUUUAUUAACACUAUCGUUGUCGAAUGUAAAAGAACGAAUUUUACUUUCGCAAUGAUAUUCUUUAAUAAUAGUCAUAAUCGCAUUAUAUAUAUUAUUAGCGUUAUGUGGGAAUCCAAUAAUUUUAAAAGCAACAAUUUUUUAUGCAUACACCAAAGUGGGUCGAUGUAGUAUGCAGUUGUAGUUAUAUAAGCUAUUUUAUUAAUCACCUCCCAUAAAUUUGAAGUUAAAGAUAUAACACCACCAUAUUUUUGCAAAUCCAAAAUUAAUUGUUGGUUUGUUUGAAGAAAAUACUCUAUUGUGUCUGAACAAGGAAUGUUUCGAUUUACUCCAACAUACCUCAGUUGUAUCUUCUUUCACACAUAAGACGAAAUGUUGGUUGUCCGCUAUUGCAAGAGGUAACUUAGCACCGGCAAUAAGUUUCACCAUUCCUAUUCAAACAUUCCUCUUUGAAUACAUCCAUGUGGUGAGGGUCAAAGUUGUAGUACCGGCAUCUGGACUACCAAAUUGCAGUUGUGUUUGACCGGCUUGAAGAAGUCCAUGUUUGACCACACACGCUUUGUAGUGACAGUUGAGGUGAACGGUACUAAUGUCUUUUUGCCAUGCUAAUUGUUGACAGUAUUUACACACUGCUUUGGACUCUGGGACUCCAUCGACACACAACCAGUCGAAAUCAAUUUAAAGUGAUCGUAACAUUUUGCCUUUUUUCCCCUUUCACUUCCCUCUAGCAUCGGAAAUAUUUAAUUCGGGUUCCUUCUCCUCUUGGGCUUCGGGAACAUUAAUGUCAUCCAAAUCAAUUAGAUUAUUGCUGGGGUCCGGCCCCAAAUUCAAAUGUGGAAUAUCUUCAAGAAUUGGUACUUUGUUUAGACCAGGAAAUUGAUUUUGAUAUUGACUUUGUGGCAUCGUAGGUGAUUCGCCUCUGGCACCAAACAAACCCUCGACAAAUGAGACUGGAUCUAUUUCAAUUUGUGAAUUGUGAAGAUACAAUAUAGAUUAAUAGAUGAUAUAGGAAAAUGAUUGAAUUGUGAAAAUGAAUUGAAAUCGAAGAUGAUUAAAUUGUAAAAAAUGAAUCUAUAUAAUAUGACUAUAUUGUAUAAUUGUAGACUAAUUGAGAGUUGAAACAAAUCAAUUGAGACUUGAAAGCACAAAAGAGAUUGAGAGAAAGAGUAUUGAGAAUAUUGAGAUAAUGAAACUUGAGAAUUGAGAGAGUUGAUGAAAAAUGUUGGGCCAAUUGUGCCUAUUUAUAAAAAAGGGGGAAAGAGAAGGAGAGGGAAAAAAAAAGUUUUGGACCAUGGAAGGUUACCAAUUAUAGAACAAUUGCUCACCCCAUUUGUUUCACUAUCUCCCCAAAGAAGCAAAGUUUUGGACCUUGGAAGGUUACCAAUUAUAGGACAAUUUAUAUGCUUUUCUACGAAAUAUAUUAACUUUAACCUAUAUUUGAGUCAUGCUCAGUGGCAGAUCUAGGUGGUGGCCGCCCUAGCUGGAUUCGUCAAAACCACUGGAGAAAUUUUUUUUUAUACGUUAUAUCACUUGUGACUCAUUUCAUUUUCAAAAUUCUCUUGCAGCUCACCUGGUUAGAGCUUGCAUGUAUAUAUUUGAAAACUCGAGUUCGAAUCAUUUACCAAUGAAUUUGUUGUGUUUUAUUUUUAUUCUACAAUUUUUAUCAAAAUUCAAUAGGGAGGGGGACAAAGGAAAUUCAAACCCGUGACCGCUUGCAAGGGUUGCUGUAAAUUUAAUCUUUAUGGUACUUCUUGAGUUGUGUCACUAAAUUUAACAAAAUAUUAUUUGUUAAGUUUUAAUUGUUUUAAUGCAAAAAUAAUUGCAAAGAUUCGAAUCCACGCUCUUCCUUUGAAUUAUACAGAACUUGACAACAAUACCAUUUGAUGAAUCCUAUUUAUUCUUAUAACAUAAUUAUAUAUGUUCAAUUUGAGCAAAAUAAUUGUUUUGUUUAAAUUUUAGGCCUUGUUCGACUCCUUUUUUUUUUUUUUUUUUUUUUUAAAAUACAUUUUUUUUUUUUUUUUCAUUCACACGUUCUUCAAUAAAAUAAUAUUAUAUGCAAAUUCAAAACUUUUCUUUAUUUUAACCAAGCAUUCUCCAUCAAAUAACUAUUCCAAAAUGCAUUUUUUUUUUUUUGCAAAAAAUGGAUAUUAAACGGACUCUUAACAUUUUAUUGCGAUUGACGAUAAAUGGUGAACGGCCACCCGUCUUGACUCAAACUCUUGGAUUCGCUUUUAGUCAUGUUUAUAAACACAAGCAACUUUUUAUUCACACGUUUCAAAUAAUUGAUUAGUAUUACUCAAUUAUCGAUAACUUAUUUUUAUCAAAUGCUUGUGAUAUUUGUACAAAGUUAAAGCCAGCAGAUAACUCUAAAAGUACAAGGGUGUAGGAAAAAGACUUUUCAUUUAGCCGUAACAGAUGUCUCUUAAUGUUAAAUUGCAGGGAAGAUUAGGAAGCCCUCUUGGGAGGAGCCAUAUUGCGCGUAAGAGAGGAGGUCACACCGAUUGUAACUAUCUGCACAAUUACUUCUGCAAAGUAGAUGGUGCAAUUCAAAAUAAUUUAAAAACAACCAUGUCGAACAUAAGGAUUAUAGCCAAGUUAAAUGAACAUACCAAAAAGAACAGCAGCAACCUUGAACAUCUUAGCCAUCGAUGUCUCCCACUUGCUGAAAUCUUCGAUGAGCUGUUCCAUAUAAGCAAGGUAAUGUAAUAAUGAAUAAUGAUAUUAAUAUUACAUUACCAUAUGUGCAUGUUACUGAAAUAAACCUCUUUAAGCUUUAAUGCUCCUAUUCUUUUCAAUUCUGCGAAGAACAAUUUUCAGUUUGAGAACAGAAUAUUCACUCACAAACUUGGAGAAUGGUGUUUCUCAUUGGUAUAAUAAUUAACAUUAUUUCCCUCUUUGUAACUUGCAUUAUGAUCGAUAAAUGCAUGUACUAGAACUACAGCGUAUUACCACAUCAAUAUCAAAACAAUAUACGAUUGAAGAAAACUCUGGACUAUUUUUACCUCAAAUAAUUUUUCACUCUUGACGAGAAAGGCUACUGAGAUUACAGCAGCAAUUACAAACCAAACAAAUACAGCUUCAGAAAGAUGCUGUGGCUUCACUUUCGACCUUCAAUAUGACAAUACCCAAAAAAAAAAAAAAAAUUAUAUAUGAAAAUAAGGGUGUUAGUGUGUACCUAUUUCUCCUAUAAAGAGAGAAAUAAAGCAAAUAACGCUAGAAGAAGAGUUUCCAAAAUAAAGUUGUUGCUUCCAGAAUUCGAACUAAAGUUUGCAACAUAGGUCAAAGCAAAAAACAUUAAAAAUAGUAGCAAGGAAGUUAUUUUGCUCCUGUUCGAGUUCCCUGCCUUUUAAUAAUAGGUUCUUAAAAAAAUUCACUUUUUACAAAUCCUACUUUCAAGAUAUGGUGCUCAAGCAGGGGCUUGGCAUUUUAUUCUAUAGUUUAGUGAGCCCUAAUAAGGGUUAGUCAACACUGCUCAUCGGGGAAGAAAGAAAAAAAAAGUGUUUGCCAAAUUUUACAAAUUAUUAGGACACCGUAACUUGAUAAUAAAAUGGAGCAUGGCUGCAUAUAUCCAUACAAUAGUGCUACAACAAUUGAUAGCUGACUGACGAUGAUGUUAACCAACAGCUAAAUUCGUGUGUCAAUUUGUGAACUAUCCUUUAUGAUUUUUUUUUGGUCAUUAUUUAAUUCACAAAAUUAGCUAAAAACAAAAAGGAAUAUAAUAUCAUGUCUCUGCUAUUUUUACUCCUUACUUAGGGGCCAUCUGAGCCCCAUUAUUUGUAGAUUAUAAUGAGAUGAAUAGUAUUUUUUUGAAAAAUGAGUGGUUGAAAAGUUUUUUAUUUACGUGUAAUAUUAUUUUAUUGAAGAUUGCGUGGUUAAAAGUAGGAGAGAGAAAAUUUUAAUUUAAUGUAAUGAGAAAUAAUGGAGCUCGAAUGGGGGCUUAGCAUUUCCCAUGUAGUUUUUUCUUCAAUUCUCUCUUCCUAUGGUUUUAGAUCAUAAUUAAUUAUAAACCAAUAUAUAUCAAAUAGCUCAUUUUUGCUGAGAAAAUUGCAAUUAAUUGAGUAUGGAUGGAAGUACUUGUCAAAAUAGACAAAGUAAAUAACAAUUUGACACUAAUGAUAGGCAAAUAUUAAUACAUGUGGUGAAAUUCAAUUUAUUUAUUUAUUUUCAAAAUAACACAUUAAAUUUUAAGGUGAAGUUGGUUCACUGAUUAAAUUGAAAAAGCAAUUAAAAACAAUAAACUUCAACAUUCAUCCAAUGGAUUUCAGUCUGUAUCUCAGUUCUUGGUCCAGACAAUUUGAAUGCACAGAUGACUAUACUUCAUAAUCAAGAAAAUCCAAGUACACUAAAAAUUUCAACAUCCAGCAAAUUCAAUUUACAGUAGAAAUUCAAAACUUGAAAUUAGUUAACUAUUCACUAAAAACUAAUAAGCCUUAAUCAAAUUAUCUAAUAAAAUUAUAAAAACAUUCAAGAGUCUAGCCUGAAACUGAAAGGAAAGAGGUGUCAAAACUGUAAAAUAAAUUUAAAAAAAAAAAAAAAAGGGGAGAAAUGCGUAUAUUUAUUAGAAGAAAAAAAAAAUCAUCCAACAAAAUUGAUGAAUAGAUAAAACUCUGGAUAUAUACGUGAUUGAAUAAAUCAUAACGUGGAAAAACACUGACUUAAGGAAUCGUACAGCAAAAUUGAUAAAUAGAUAAAACUCUAAAUAUAUACCUGAUUGAAUUAAAUAUAAUGUGGAAAAACACAGAUUCUUGGACGGAUUUGGAUAGAAAUAUAAAUAUUAAUAUUUAUACAUGUAUUAGGUAUAAAAUUGGGGGUGGAUCUGGAUAUGGGAGUAAUUUGUUGGUAAUAUAAGGGAAAAAUUCCAACUUUUUAAAGGUCGAAAAAAGAGGUAAAUUUCACCAAGGACCGAAGUCCUAACCUACCAUUUGUUGCAGUCAAGUCCUUGAUCUUUUAAAUUGUUGACCCAUGUCCUCUCUUAACAGAAUAUGUUUACUUGAACUCUAAAUGGCCAGGUGACAAGAAGACACUCAUUUGAUGUCAGUGAAUUCAACUUUCAAUUAUUAGAAAUUUAAAUAGGGCACAACUUUCAAUGUUCAUGAAACCUACGUGCAUGUUUGGUUAUGCUUUUUUCACUCAAAAAACCAAUUUUUUGAUUUUUACUUCCUUAAGUUAGUCAUCGUGUUUGACUUCUUCUCUCACGGGUGAAAUUCAAUUUUCUCUCUAACGAUCAAAAAAUCAAUUCUUAUAAUCACUACUGAACAAGCGCUAUACCGUUGCUUCAAUUCAUCUCCGAGAUGAAGAGAGUGUCCAGAGAUCAUAUAAUUUUCAAAUAAACAUUUUAUAUUAGCCAAUGACACGAAAGCCAUAAUUUUAAAUGCAAAAGGGAAAGAAUUCCCUUAUAAAACUAGUAUUUCUGAUCAUAAAUCAAACAACUUCCACAUUUCCUUGAUGAAUAAUGAAAUGUAUCCUGUAUUCAAUUUGGGUAAGAAUAUUGUUGAAUGCAUUUUGGAGGAGGAGCAGACACAAGCCAUACAUUUUACAUGCCAACCCCGUAUGGAAACAAUCAGGAUUUGAUCACCCCUAGAGUUGCAGCUUCAAGUGAAACAGCAUGCCUAGCAUGUUCACCCAUAGGAAUCCUUUGAAUUCCAGCCAUAUCGACAACACUAAGGUACUUACACACAUGAAUCUUGACAGAAACUUGUUGUUGUCCCCUCGCGGGCACGUACACGUUCACAAAUGGAACCGUUUGUUUGUGUGGUGCCCAGUGUCCUCCAGGAGGCGAUGAAUAUACAAGUAACGUGUGUGUGCCAUCUCGAGAUCCCAUAUUUCUCACAUCAACAUAAAAACUAAUGGAGAGCCUAUUAUAUUUUGCAUGUGUAACUUGAAUGGCCUAUCUAGUAAUGGUGGUGUUGGUAUGGUGGCGCCCGUGAAUAGUGACUAAAACAACCGUUGGAACAUCUGCAGUUGUGUGAACAAAGUUUGUGUAGCUCAAUUCGUUCCCAAAUGGAUACACCACAUGUCCUUUGUAGAACCAGUAAGUCCUCACCGGAUAGCCCUUGAAGGAUCUGAUUGCAUAUCCAUUGCAGUCAUUGGCAAGUUGUUUAGGUAUUCCUGUGGGUACCAUGUAAUUGGUAACUUUCCACCCGGAUUAUGCGUUCCGAAUAGGAUAUCAGCUAUUGGCAUAUCCAUUGCAGUCAUUGGCAAGUUGUUUAGGUAUUCCUGUGGUUACCAUGUAAUUGGUAACUUUCCACCCGGAUUAUGCGUUCCGAAUAGUGAAAGUGUGUUUCUCAAAACAUCUCCAAAUUAAUGCCAUUCUUGACAAUUGACUUGGCUGCAAUCUAAUUGGUUGGUCAAAUGUGCCAAAGAUUGUGUUUCUUGUGGAUGGUGGAGAUUUAUCUUGGUGGAUCAAUGGCUGGGAUUUAACUUGGAAAUUAAUAUGACUUUUGGAGAGAGAAAAAGGACGGCAGACUUUUUCAUUUUCUUUGGUUGAGUUACAGAAUUUUUCCCUUUCCUCUCUCUGGCGAUUUUCUUCUCCUCUUUCUGGUUUUACUUUGAUAUACACUUCUCAGUUAAAUCCUGGUUUUAGAUUAGCCCUUGUAAUAUCAUGAUGCUACAGUAACUCGAGGCGUGAUUCUGAGCCUCUGCUAUUUUCGAUUUUGUUUACUGUUGGCUAGGGUUAAGUGUUGUGAAAAGGAUUUAUGUUUGGUUUCGUAGAUCUGUUGAUCGAUGAUCGAAACUUGUGUAUUCUAAGUGGUUGAUGUAAAUUUGGUUCUCUUGGACGGCGAUUUGCAUAGUGGAACGGGUUCAGUUCCUGAGCCCCCCAGAUUAGGCCCCGUUUGGCCGAACUGGGUCACCAACUCUGAUGUUCUAUCUGUUUUUCGAUAUUAUUUUGAGCACUUAAUUUUACAGUGUUAGAUUAUAGGUUUACUAAUCAUCAGCUUGUAUCCCAACAAAUAGGAUAUCAGUUAUUGGCAUAUCCAUUGCAGUCAUUGGCAAGUUGUUUAGGUAUUCCUGUGGUUACCAUUUAAUUGGUAACUUUCCACUCGGAUUAUGCGUUCUAUUGGGGCUCCUCCUGCUUGGCCGGGAUAGCCAGCCCAAACAAUUGCACUAAUUUUUGGAUCGUUUUUGGUAAAUGAUACAUUAAUAGGACCUCCACUCAUUAAUACCAAGAUCGUCGGACCUCUUGACACCAUGGCAACCUUAUUAACAAGCUCUUGUUGACGUCCCGAUAGGUGGAGGCCAGCUCUAUCUCUGAAUUCAGCUUCAAUUGACUGGUCUAGUCCCAUAACUAGAACAGUCGCAUCUACUUGAUGUGCUGUAUCAACCGCUCCUCCAAAGAGUGCCUCAUUAGCACAAGCCACAUUGGCACGACCCUGCUGAUGAAUAGUCCUAGUAUACCUUCCUAUUCCUUGUAAUGGAGUUGUAUAUACACAAGCAACACCUACAUAAUAACCAAGAACUAUGAGUACAAUUCCUUUGUUAUAUUUUUCAAAAUAUAUUUUACGAAGGUUAAUCAUGUCAUAUAAACGCAAAAUGGAUGUAGCGCUUACCAGCAUAAUUGCCAAUCAUUGUGACAAUAACAUCCGAGUUAGGCCCGAUAACUGCAACAAUAUGUUGUCGUCGAGGAGAUAGAGGUAGUGAAGGGCCGUGAUUUAUUAUAAGAACAAUACCCAGUCUAGCGGCUUCAAGUGCAAGCUCCAGGCGAGCCGGGGUGCUUACGUCUUUUGCACCCAAGUUACCAUAUGGCUGCGUCGAUGGCUCUCCAUCAAACAUCCCCAGCCUCAUUUGAACAGCAACUGUAUUGGCUAAGGCAAGCAUUAUAUCAUCCUCCUUUAGUAACCCCUUUUGUAUUGCAUUCUCUGUGUAUUGCAAGGAAUGACCCACAAUCCAAAUCCAAACCUGUAUAAUAUAAAAUCCAAAGUUUCUAACAAAGCUUAUUUUUCUAGAAAAGCAACUUAAAAAGUAUGGUCACAAGUGUACCUGCUUUGAUUGCAUCUAUUGCUGCUUCUUCUAGCGUUGAUGUAUAAUGUUGAUUAUUGUAGAACACACCAACUGAAUCACAGUCUGAGAUGAUGUAACCGUUAAGGCACCAAGCACCUUGUACAGUUUCUCGAAGAAGUUUCAGAUCUGCGCAGGUGGGUAUGCGUUUGACUUGACUGUAAGAGCACAUUACACUGGCAACCUUAUCUUCCAUAACACAACUUUUGAAUGGAAUGUCAAAUGUAACUAUAAAGGAUUCAAAAGCCAUGUACUCGAGUAACUUAACAAUCAAUUAUUCAUACUACUUAAAAAUAUGGAAAAAUACAACAAUAUACAUAUCAAUUUAUUUGUAUAAGCAUGAGAAAAAAAUAAAAUCAGUAGCCUAAUUUUAGCUCUGUAGCUCGUACCACAUAUUCAACAUCAACUUUUUCAUAAUAAAUUCACACUUCAAUGGAAACUAAAUUUCUCAGAUAAGCGAAAAAUGGAAUUUGACAUGACUAUUAUGGUUCAAUUUAAUUUAUAAUUUAAAUCAAGUAAUGCACUGAACAUGAAGUACACCUUGGCAAAGUAAUCCUUCCAUACCCUGCGGGAGAUCUGAUGACCCCCGAAAUCAAAUGCCGAAAACUUAAUUAUCGCAAUACGCAGUUCUUCUGAUGUCGGAUAUUGUGUUGGUUGAUGUUGAACUAAUCUCCACAACAACCCAAGAAUCGAAUUCAAUCAACGCGCCAAGGAGGUACAUACCUAAAUUAAUAAAUAAAUACAUAAAUUCUUGUAUUUCAAUUAUUUCCCGAAUAUAUAAAAGAAAAUAGUUAACUCGGCCUUUAGCAUGUGAAGAAGCAUGAUUUUACUGGCAUUCUCAAGACCAAGGAAGAAGAUCUUGGCCUUUUUUUGUCGCUGUAACGCCCCGACCAACAUGGACGGAAAUGUCACUCAAACCAUUGUACCUUAGCAUUAGACUUAGAAAUUAUUUAAAAUAAUAAUUUAAUUAAUUACUCCUUUAACGGAAAGGUAAACAUUUAGUUUUAAAAAAAAAUUCCUUAAGAACCAUAUUUUUCCUAACAUUCAGUUUACUAUAAAAUUAUAAAAUAAACUCGUUGCAAAGUUAUCAAUUUCAAAAUUUUAUAAAAUUUUAAUGGAAAGUAGGGAAAAUCUUAUAAUAUAACAUAUCCAAAAUUUGGCUUCCGUCGGUGAAAUAUAAGGCGUUAAAAUAUUUCCCAAAAUCCCGCUAACACUAACUAAACAAAGCUAUUUUCUUUUUCUAUCUCGUAGGGUAAGUGUCAAUAAAUUCGUUUGUAUAGUUAUCGACCUCAAAACUUCAUCAAAUUUUAAUGUGAAGUAGUAAACUCCUUAAUAUGACAUAGUAAAAAAUUAGCUUCCAUCGGCAUCAUAUGAGGUAUUAAAAUAUUUCUCAAAACCCAGCAGCGACCCACCCAGUUGAAAGGUAAAACCGGUGCAGUUCACUUAAAAUGACAUGUACAAUUCCAUGGACAUCAAAACCACAUGAUUUCAAAAUUUUUCAGUAGCUAAUCCAUGAGUCUAUCAAAUCCAAUUGGUUUCAUUCGAAAAUUCCACAGUCAAGUUAGGAAAUUUUGAAGUCAAGGCAGAAGCUGGGAAUACGACGACUCUACCCAGUGUAGUUUACUUUAUGCAACAUAUAAAAUUCUACCGACAUUGGAUUGACAUGAUUCCAAGUUCAUUCAAUAGCUAACUUAUGAAACCAUUAAGAGUAGGUAACCUAUUCCGUGUCUUUAUUUUUAUGUCAUCGUAUCACAUUCUGUUCUCCGAGAUUUGAAAAUCACCAUCAAUACCCGGUGUAGGUCCGGGAUAAUCCUUUGUUCCAUAGCCCUGGGGCUAUUUACAACUAGCCAAUUAAGAAUUCUCAGAUGUACUAUCCAACGCCACUGGUUUUGUAUAAAAAUACCAAGUAAUGAAGGAAUUAUAAAUUUUUAAAAACGAGGCAGAAUCUGAAUUUUUAUUUAAAAGACAGCAAAACUUUAAAUCAUUAAUAUAUAUAUAUAUAUAUAUAUAUAUAUAUAUAUAUAUAUAUAUAAACUUAAUUUAUCUAAAUUAUUUAUUAUAUUUUCAAUUUCUUGAUUUGGUUUAUUUUCUAUAUUGUUUAAUUUUUUAUUUAUAUUUUCUAUUGCUUCUGUAGUCUUAAGAUCUGGAAAUUUUUCUUUAUCUUCUACUCUAGAGAUUUUAUUUAAAAUUUUCAAGGAUUUUAAGGCUGUUAUAAGAGGUUGUUAAGAUAAAUUAUAAAAAUCCUACUCAGUACUCUUCUUAAUUUAAAUGUCUUUUUCUUUUAAUAAAAUAAUAUCCCAUUUUUUUUUUUAAAUCAUGCCAUCUGAGAUAUAUGAAUUUGGGCCUAACUCCAUUCUUGUAAGGACACCACUGACACUUCCUUAACAAGAAUUCUUAAAACAGUGAUCCCUUUCCCUCUUCUAUGCGUCUCCUAGCCUCUUCACUGGGCCUUUACGCUUUGAGAGGUCACUCAGGGCUUAUUUUAAAAACAGUUUGAACUUUUAACUUGGAGUUAAAACAUGCUAUUAUCAUAUACUCAGCAUGAAACAUAAAACUCUUUACAAAAAUCAUAAAACUUUUAUAAAAUAAAAAUUUAUGAACAAAAAUUGUUCUUAAAAGAUCUGGAACUAAUAUUAAUUAAUCUUAGAACUAUAAAGCAUACCUACCGGAAUGAUCCAUCGGUAGUUUAAAACAACAUAUUUUUGUGGGAUAUUAUUCUAUCUAAGAAUAAGAACAAUUAAGAAUUUCCCUUUCGGGAGAGAAAGAAAAUUAGAACAUAUUUGAGAGAAUUCAAAACUUGUAUUGUAUAUAUUUUCUUGUGUGUUUACAAAUGAAAGAAUGGUCUCCUUUUAUAGGAGAGAAAAGAGAGAGGAAGCGUUUUUCAAAAGCAAGGAAUCUUUGCUUUUUUCAAAACGUCAAAAAGAAAACAGUAAAAAGCUAUACUAUCAAAUCUUACUUUAUCAAACAGUAAGAUUCUUUACAAAUUUUUCAAAAAGAAAACAGUAAAGAUUCUUCUUUUUAUACAAUAAUUCUUGAUCUUUUCUUGAGAUCUGGACAAAAAUCUUCAAGUGGCUGAGUCUAGUCUGAAAAUCACCGUAACUUUUUGCCAAAUGUCUUCUUUAGGCUAAAAUCUGAAUGAAUCCUUAUCUUGUUUCAUAAUUAUAUCUGCCAAUGCUGUCUAAAGAGUCUCCUCCAUCAGUACAACCUUCUGGAUUAUCAUCCUCUUCUGAAUUAUUGUCUUCCAAGUCUUUUUCUUUUUCUUGUUCAAUUUUCUUUUUGCCUUUUUUCUUUUUAAUCUGUAUUUUCUUUUUCUUUGUAAUACUUUGUUUAACUUGUUGCUGUAUUUCUUCAAUAUUAUCAAACAUUUCUUUGAUUCUUCUAAUAUCUGAUUGAGAAAUCUGUUCUGGAUCUUGAGCUGAUUGAAAUGAUUCCGGAAAAUUGAUUGGGCUUUUCUGUUUAAGGUCUAUUGGACUUAUAAGUCUAGUAGCAGAAUUUCCAGUCUGCUGUGUCUGGUCUUCAGAAAUAUUUUUAUUUUUUGUAACAGGAUUUUCGGCCUGUUGAGUAAGAGAAUCAACAGUCUCCUGAGUCUGUUGAGCUUUUGGUAAGCCCAGAACCAUAAACGGAUUUGAUAAGUCUUUACCAGCUUCCGUUUGAGCUGGACUAGCUAUAGACUUCUUUGGUUCUAUAGUACCUGAUUGUAUCUGAACAAUUGGAUUUGAAAUCUUUAAAUUAAUAAUUUCUUGUUCUAAUUCAGAAAUUUUCUUUUGUAAAACUAAUUUUUCUUGUUGUAAAGACUGAUUGGACUCAUUUAAAAUUUUAAAAUUCUUAGUCGUAUAUUCACAAUGUUCACAAAAUUUAGAAGCAUAAUCUAAAGGCUGAUCUGAAACAUUCUUUAAAGAAGGGGCAACAAAAUAAUUAAUUCCUAAAAAUUUUCUACAUUCUUCUAAUACUUCUGAAAUUGAAUAAAAUCCUUUAUAAAGAGGAUUUGGAAAAUUUUUUAUACAAUCUGAAACUUCUAACCAGGUAUGAUAAAUUCCUGGAAGUCUACCUUGUAAAACAACAUAACACUUAAAUUUUUUAUGAUCUUGACUAAAGUGUUCUGAAAGAGCAUUUAAACAUGCUAAAAAAUAUUUUUGAUCUUUUGGAUUCUUAUUGUAAGAUAUCCAUAAAUUGUCUAAAAUACAUUUUUCUGAUUUAGUAACUGAGAUAUGAGAAAGUGUCUUAAAACUAAUAUUACUGUUUGGAAAACAAAGUAAUUCUAUAUUACCAAAUCUUAACUUAUCAUGAGUUUGUAGUAUAUUUGUCUGAGAACUUGAACUACCAACAAUUGGCAAUCCUGACCUAGGGCCUCUUGGUCUUUGCAUCUGCAAGAAAUAAUCAGUCAUAUUCUUUAUUUUUAAUUAUUCUACUUAAAAUAUCUGCUAUCUGAUUAUCACUACCUUUAAUAUGUUCAAAAUUAAUUACUAAUCCAGUCUUAGUAAUUCUAUCUAUAAAAUUUAACCAUCUUCUUCUAUUACUUCUUUUAUUUUCUAAUUUCAUUUUAUUAACAAAACUUACUAUUGCUUCACAAUCUGUUCUUAAAGUAAUUUCUUUUUUANNNNNNNNNNNNNNNNNNNNNNNNNNNNNNNNNNNNNNNNNNNNNNNNNNNNNNNNNNNNNNNNNNNNNNNNNNNNNNNNNNNNNNNNNNNNNNNNNNNNNNNNNNNNNNNNNNNNNNNNNNNNNNNNNNNNNNNNNNNNNNNNNNNNNNNNNNNNNNNNNNNNNNNNNNNNNNNNNNNNNNNNNNNNNNNNNNNNNNNNNNNNNNNNNNNNNNNNNNNNNNNNNNNNNNNNNNNNNNNNNNNNNNNNNNNNNNNNNNNNNNNNNNNNNNNNNNNNNNNNNNNNNNNNNNNNNNNNNNNNNNNNNNNNNNNNNNNNNNNNNNNNNNNNNNNNNNNNNNNNNNNNNNNNNNNNNNNNNNNNNNNNNNNNNNNNNNNNNNNNNNNNNNNNNNNNNNNNNNNNNNNNNNNNNNNNNNNNNNNNNNNNNNNNNNNNNNNNNNNNNNNNNNNNNNNNNNNNNNNNNNNNNNNNNNNNNNNNNNNNNNNNNNNNNNNNNNNNNNNNNNNNNNNNNNNNNNNNNNNNNNNNNNNNNNNNNNNNNNNNNNNNNNNNNNNNNNNNNNNNNNNNNNNNNNNNNNNNNNNNNNNNNNNNNNNNNNNNNNNNNNNNNNNNNNNNNNNNNNNNNNNNNNNNNNNNNNNNNNNNNNNNNNNNNNNNNNNNNNNNNNNNNNNNNNNNNNNNNNNNNNNNNNNNNNNNNNNNNNNNNNNNNNNNNNNNNNNNNNNNNNNNNNNNNNNNNNNNNNNNNNNNNNNNNNNNNNNNNNNNNNNNNNNNNNNNNNNNNNNNNNNNNNNNNNNNNNNNNNNNNNNNNNNNNNNNNNNNNNNNNNNNNNNNNNNNNNNNNNNNNNNNNNNNNNNNNNNNNNNNNNNNNNNNNNNNNNNNNNNNNNNNNNNNNNNNNNNNNNNNNNNNNNNNNNNNNNNNNNNNNNNNNNNNNNNNNNNNNNNNNNNNNNNNNNNNNNNNNNNNNNNNNNNNNNNNNNNNNNNNNNNNNNNNNNNNNNNNNNNNNNNNNNNNNNNNNNNNNNNNNNNNNNNNNNNNNNNNNNNNNNNNNNNNNNNNNNNNNNNNNNNNNNNNNNNNNNNNNNNNNNNNNNNNNNNNNNNNNNNNNNNNNNNNNNNNNNNNNNNNNNNNNNNNNNNNNNNNNNNNNNNNNNNNNNNNNNNNNNNNNNNNNNNNNNNNNNNNNNNNNNNNNNNNNNNNNNNNNNNNNNNNNNNNNNNNNNNNNNNNNNNNNNNNNNNNNNNNNNNNNNNNNNNNNNNNNNNNNNNNNNNNNNNNNNNNNNNNNNNNNNNNNNNNNNNNNNNNNNNNNNNNNNNNNNNNNNNNNNNNNNNNNNNNNNNNNNNNNNNNNNNNNNNNNNNNNNNNNNNNNNNNNNNNNNNNNNNNNNNNNNNNNNNNNNNNNNNNNNNNNNNNNNNNNNNNNNNNNNNNNNNNNNNNNNNNNNNNNNNNNNNNNNNNNNNNNNNNNNNNNNNNNNNNNNNNNNNNNNNNNNNNNNNNNNNNNNNNNNNNNNNNNNNNNNNNNNNNNNNNNNNNNNNNNNNNNNNNNNNNNNNNNNNNNNNNNNNNNNNNNNNNNNNNNNNNNNNNNNNNNNNNNNNNNNNNNNNNNNNNNNNNNNNNNNNNNNNNNNNNNNNNNNNNNNNNNNNNNNNNNNNNNNNNNNNNNNNNNNNNNNNNNNNNNNNNNNNNNNNNNNNNNNNNNNNNNNNNNNNNNNNNNNNNNNNNNNNNNNNNNNNNNNNNNNNNNNNNNNNNNNNNNNNNNNNNNNNNNNNNNNNNNNNNNNNNNNNNNNNNNNNNNNNNNNNNNNNNNNNNNNNNNNNNNNNNNNNNNNNNNNNNNNNNNNNNNNNNNNNNNNNNNNNNNNNNNNNNNNNNNNNNNNNNNNNNNNNNNNNNNNNNNNNNNNNNNNNNNNNNNNNNNNNNNNNNNNNNNNNNNNNNNNNNNNNNNNNNNNNNNNNNNNNNNNNNNNNNNNNNNNNNNNNNNNNNNNNNNNNNNNNNNNNNNNNNNNNNNNNNNNNNNNNNNNNNNNNNNNNNNNNNNNNNNNNNNNNNNNNNNNNNNNNNNNNNNNNNNNNNNNNNNNNNNNNNNNNNNNNNNNNNNNNNNNNNNNNNNNNNNNNNNNNNNNNNNNNNNNNNNNNNNNNNNNNNNNNNNNNNNNNNNNNNNNNNNNNNNNNNNNNNNNNNNNNNNNNNNNNNNNNNNNNNNNNNNNNNNNNNNNNNNNNNNNNNNNNNNNNNNNNNNNNNNNNNNNNNNNNNNNNNNNNNNNNNNNNNNNNNNNNNNNNNNNNNNNNNNNNNNNNNNNNNNNNNNNNNNNNNNNNNNNNNNNNNNNNNNNNNNNNNNNNNNNNNNNNNNNNNNNNNNNNNNNNNNNNNNNNNNNNNNNNNNNNNNNNNNNNNNNNNNNNNNNNNNNNNNNNNNNNNNNNNNNNNNNNNNNNNNNNNNNNNNNNNNNNNNNNNNNNNNNNNNNNNNNNNNNNNNNNNNNNNNNNNNNNNNNNNNNNNNNNNNNNNNNNNNNNNNNNNNNNNNNNNNNNNNNNNNNNNNNNNNNNNNNNNNNNNNNNNNNNNNNNNNNNNNNNNNNNNNNNNNNNNNNNNNNNNNNNNNNNNNNNNNNNNNNNNNNNNNNNNNNNNNNNNNNNNNNNNNNNNNNNNNNNNNNNNNNNNNNNNNNNNNNNNNNNNNNNNNNNNNNNNNNNNNNNNNNNNNNNNNNNNNNNNNNNNNNNNNNNNNNNNNNNNNNNNNNNNNNNNNNNNNNNNNNNNNNNNNNNNNNNNNNNNNNNNNNNNNNNNNNNNNNNNNNNNNNNNNNNNNNNNNNNNNNNNNNNNNNNNNNNNNNNNNNNNNNNNNNNNNNNNNNNNNNNNNNNNNNNNNNNNNNNNNNNNNNNNNNNNNNNNNNNNNNNNNNNNNNNNNNNNNNNNNNNNNNNNNNNNNNNNNNNNNNNNNNNNNNNNNNNNNNNNNNNNNNNNNNNNNNNNNNNNNNNNNNNNNNNNNNNNNNNNNNNNNNNNNNNNNNNNNNNNNNNNNNNNNNNNNNNNNNNNNNNNNNNNNNNNNNNNNNNNNNNNNNNNNNNNNNNNNNNNNNNNNNNNNNNNNNNNNNNNNNNNNNNNNNNNNNNNNNNNNNNNNNNNNNNNNNNNNNNNNNNNNNNNNNNNNNNNNNNNNNNNNNNNNNNNNNNNNNNNNNNNNNNNNNNNNNNNNNNNNNNNNNNNNNNNNNNNNNNNNNNNNNNNNNNNNNNNNNNNNNNNNNNNNNNNNNNNNNNNNNNNNNNNNNNNNNNNNNNNNNNNNNNNNNNNNNNNNNNNNNNNNNNNNNNNNNNNNNNNNNNNNNNNNNNNNNNNNNNNNNNNNNNNNNNNNNCUUUACUACUCAUUAAAUUUAUUACUUUAUCUCUGUAUAAUUUAUAUUUUGUUUGAGAAUUAUUACUACAUCUUCCUAAAAAUCCUAUACUUAUUAAUAAAUUCUCUCCUGAAACAACAUCUUCAUAUCCAUGUGUUUGAAUUCCUAUUUUAAUUUUUUCUAAAAAAUCUUUUAUGGUUAAUAAGAAAUCUGGAUUACAAUAUAUAAUUCCAUUAUUAUCAUUCAUAUCAACUUCUGUACUAGCUAUCAUACUCUUUUCUAUAUUUUGGAUUCUUUCAUCAUAAAUAGUUAAUAAAACUUUAUUUUCUAAAUUUUUUCUCAUUAAUCCUUUAAUUCCUAUUACUAUUAAUCCUAAAUGCAUAAAUCUAAAAUUCUUUUUUCUUAAUUCUUUUUUAGAUUCUUCUGAUAUUAAUGAUAAUUGUCUUACUUGACCAUCUAAACAUUGAAUUGAUACUUCUCUAGUAUGUCUAAAAAAUUGGGUUCUUGAUUCAAAAAUUCCUCUAUUAUAUAAAUUUUCUGGAUUAAGUAAUUGUAAACCAUGAGUUUGGAAUCUAUUAUAGUCUUGUUCAGGAUCUAUAAGUUCUUCAAUAUUCUGAUUAUAUUGAGGCUGUCUAUGUAAAAUUCUUUCUAUUAUAUUAGUACUUAUGUUAGAAGUACUAUGUCUACCUCUAUCAUAAGGUUCUGAAGAUGAUCCUACUUCUCUAAUAGUUCUUGACCUACCAGGAAAAUUAUUCAUAUUUUAUAAAAUGUUGUAGAUAAUUUUCUAGUAAUUUUUUCUUUACCUGUAUUUUUUAAACUUAAUUUAUCUAAAUUAUUUAUUAUAUUUUCAAUUUCUUGAUUUGGUUUAUUUUCUAUAUUGUUUAAUUUUUUAUUUAUAUUUUUUAUUGUUUCUGUAGUCUUAAGAUCUGGAAAUUUUUUUUUAUCUUCUACUCUAGAGAUUUUAUUUAAAAUUGUUGAAUUUUGUUCUUUAAUAAAAUCUAGGUUUUCACAAAUUUUAUUAAUAUCUUUCUCAAUAUUAAAGAUUCUUUUUCCUAAAAUACUAAGUUCUCCAGUUAAUUUAUUAAUUUCUUUUACUAAAAGAUCCAGUUUUAAAACUCUAAUAUGAAUAAUAAAAAGAAUCUAAUGAAAAAUUUGUAUGAUCUGAUAAAUAAUUAUUAUCAAUAUUAUCUAAUUCAAUCCUUAAUUUUAGAUCUGAUAUAAAUGUCUGAUCAAAACUAUUUAUAAAAUAUUCUUCUCUAAAUUCUGAAAUUAAAGAUCUAUAUAAAAUCUGUUCCUUUAAUUCUAGGUGUAAAUCUUUAGUUACAUGUAAGAUAGAAAAUAAAUAAUCUAUAGGUUUAUAUUUUUCAAGAGAAAUAAAUUUUAUACCGUAUUCAAAAAUCUCUUCUAUUUCUUUAUAAAAUGUAAAACUAUAGAAUAUUUUUUCUAGAUCUACAAGUAAAAUUCUAAAAAUCAUAAAACAAGUAAGUAAUUUCUAAAGAUUAAAAGAGUUAUACCUUUUACAAAAUCUGAAGAAAUAUUCUGAAAUCACCAGCACCGAAACAAAAGCUCUGAUACCAAAAGAGGGGGGUCCCUGAAAAAGAGGUUAUUUCAAGGAUUUUAAGGCUGUUAUAAGAGGUUGUUAAGAUAAAUUAUAAAAAUCCUACUCAGUACUCUUCUUAAUUUAAAUGUCUUUUUCUUUUGAUAAAAUAAUAUCCCAUUUUUUUUUUUAAAUCAUGCCAUCUGAGAUAUAUGAACUUGGGCCAAACUCCAUUCUUGUAAGGACACCACUGGCACUCCCUUAACAAGAAUUCUUAAAACAGUGAUCCCUUUCCCUCUUCUAUGCGUCUCCUAGCCUCUUCACUGGGCCUUUACGCUUUGAGAGGUCACUCAGAGCUUAUUUUAAAAACAGUUUGAACUUUUAACUUGGAGUUAAAACAUGCUAUUAUCAUAUAUUCAGCAUGAAACAUAAAACUCUUUACAAAAAUCAUAAAACUUUUACAAAAUAAAAAUUUAUGAACAAAAAUUGUUCUUAAAAGAUCUGGAACUAAUAUUAACUAUUAGCACCAUAUCUUAGAACUAUAAAGCAUACCUACCGGAAUGAUUCAUCGGUAGUUUAAAACAACAUAUUUUUGUGGGAUAUUAUUCUAUCUAAGAAUAAUGUCUUUUUCUUUUGAUAAAAUAAUAUCCCAUUUUUUUUUUUUUAAAUCAUGCCAUCUCACUUAAAUUUUUUAUGAUCUUGACUAAAGUGUUCUGAAAGAGCAUUUAAAUAUGCUAAAAAAUAUUUUUGAUCUUUUGGAUUCUUAUUGUAAGAUAUCCAUAAAUUGUCUAAAAUACAUUUUUCUGAUUUAGUAACUGAGAUAUGAGAAAGUGUCUUAAAACUAAUAUUACUGUUUGGAAAAUAAAAUAAUUCUAUAUUACCAAAUUUUAACUUAUCAUGAGUCUGUAGUAUAUUUGUCUGAGAACUUGAACUACCAACAAUUGGCAAUCCUGGCCUAGGGCCUCUUGGUCUUUGCAUCUGCAAGAAAUAAUCAGUCAUAUUCUUUAUUUUUAAUUAUUCUACUUAAAAUAUCUGCUAUCUGAUUAUCACUACCUUUAAUAUGUUCAAAAUUAAUUACUAAUCCAGUAUUAGUAAUUCUAUCUAUAAAAUUUAACCAUCUUCUUCUAUUACUUCUUUUAUUUUCUAAUUUCAUUUUAUUAACAAAACUUACUAUUGCUUCACAAUCUGUUCUUAAAAUAAUUUCUUUUUUUGGAAAUAAUGAAUAAUUCAAAAGAAUCUAAUGCAUUAUUAACUGCAAGUAAUUCUAAAUCUAUACUACUUAUAUGACCUUUUUCUUUAUAAUUUUCACUAUUAUAUCUUACAAUUUUUUCACUAUCUUUAUCUGCAUAUUUAUUGGGUUUUGCAAUUAAAAUUGCUCCCCAUCCUGUUAUACUUCCAUCUGUUUCUAUAAUUAAAAAAUCUGUUUCUAGUGGCAUAGAUAAUUUAGGUAAAUCUUUUAAUUUUCCUUUUAUUUUUUGAACUAAUUCAAUAUCUUCUAUAUUAAAAUAUCUUUGACCUUUUGGUGAAGUUUUUCCAUAUAAAGGUCCUGCAAUUUUUCCCAAAUCUUUGAUAAAGGGUCUAGCAUAAUUUACUAAUCCUAAAAAAUUUUGUAGCUGCUUAAGGUCUUCAAGUUUAUGUGGAAAAUCUAAAGCUUUUUGGGCUAUAUGAGGUUGUAACUCUAUUUUUCCUUUUUCUAUAUUUACUCCUAGAAAUUCUAUAAAUUCUUUAAAUAAGAACAUUUUCUUUUUAUUUAUAAUUAAACCAUGUCUAAUAAAUUCUGAAAAGAGAAUUUGUAAAUGACCUCUAUGUUCUCGCCUAUUUUUACUAAAUACUAAAAUAUCAUAUAUAUAAACAAUAAUGAAUUUAUUAUGUUUACUAAAAAUACUAUCCAUUUUUUUUUUGGAAAAUACUAGGGGUAUUUUUUAAUCCAAAUGGCAUAACUAACCAUUCAAAAUGUCCUUCUGGGCUAGUGAAGGCUGUCCAUUCUAUUGAAUCUGGGUGCAUUUUUACUUGCCAAAAAUCAGAUUUUAAAUCAAACUUACUAAAAAUAUUACAAUUUUGAAUUUUAUUUAUUAAAACUGUUUUAUCUGGAAUAUUAUAAGCAUCAUCUAUUGUAUUAUCAUUUAAUCUUUUAUAAUUAAUUACCAUUCUACUUUUUCCUCUAAUAAUUUCUGAAUGUUUUCUAACUAUAAAAAUAUAAUAUAUAUUACAUAAAACGUCACUUUUAAGUGGCCCAAUAAUAAUCCCAUAGCCCAAGAGUUCUAAUUGGUCCAAAUAGUCUCCCCAAUUUUUUUUUUUUUAAUAAUUAAGCUAGAUGUACAUCCUUGUUGACAACAAGGAUGACAUCCUCCCCUACGUAGAGGAAAUAUGUACAAUGAUAUGAUGGAAGGAUUGAAAAUUCAGAGUGUAGAUAUUGCCAUAUGAAAGAGUAUAAAUGAAUGUGGAUAAAAAAGUAUACAUGUAACAAGAUUGUUUUCUUUUUUUUUUUCUAUAUAUAUAUAUAUAUAUAUAUAUAUAUAUAUAUAUAUAUAUAAUGUAAACGGUGGUUUGUGAAUUUAUUCCUAUGACACAUGUCUAUGUUCAAAGAUAAAUUUAUUCAUAAAUAAUGUUCGUAGAAUAUAUCUGUACAAAAUAUCCAUCGAAAUCUAAUUUAAAGGAAACGUAAACAUUUCAUGAUUAACUAAAGAUAUUAAGUCAUCGGCUUCUCCAUGGCAUAUCACAUCAUCAUUUAUCAUCAUCCACGUCCUAAGGAAAAUCUAUUCAACCUGUAGGAAGGGAAUUAACCCAUAAGUUUGAAACUCAAUAGAUUUCAUCGGUGCAUUUCGUUGUCAAAUUAAAAAUUUCGAACUAUAGAUUCAUACCAUCGCACGUAGAUAGAUUUCAUACAAAAUCCAAUUACUAUAACAUUAUCAUAACACGUAGAGCCAGAGAAUGAUUAUUAAAAAUGUUGUAAUGUCGAAGCACCGUACCCAGAGAUACCAUUUCAUUCAAACAUUUAUCGAAAAUCAUAAAUUGAAAUGAAGUAAACACUUGCACCUCUACCGACCUUGAAUUUUCUUAGAUAUCAAAGAACAAAAUGUGUAAAAAGUCUUUCUUCUUCUCACUCUUGUUAUUCUCGUAGCUUAAAUUGACAUGAAAUAUAUUUUCUUGAAAGAAAAUGAGAUGAAAUUCGGAAUUGAAGAGGAAUGUAGUGAAAAAGUGAUUUUCCGCUUCUUGUAACCUUUCUUUUUAAUGAAAAACUAAGAGGGGGGGUUGUAUUAUCAUUAAAUUUAUUAAAUUUGAUCUUUAACUAAGAAUUUGAAGAGUCUCUAAACCAUAAAAAAAUAAUUCAUAUAAAAGUUUUAUAAAAACAUCUACAUGGUGAUUCGAACUUGGGUUACCUAUAUGAAAUUCCAUUUGGAUGACCAUUGUGGUAGCCUAGUUAUUCAUUAAAUCUUUGUAAUCAAAUUUAUUUAAACUUAAUAUAUUAAAUUGUUGGGCUUUUAAUUAACUAUGGCUUGGAGCUUUCAAAAUCUUAAAUGGGUUGAGCUUCCAUAGCUCGUUUCUUGAAUGAGCUAGGCUUGUGAUGCUAGAUUAUCAUAACAUAAUAGCCUACCUUCAUUUUAUUUUCUCGGGCUUCUGCAAUCACAGUACCAGGGAUACCUGUAUGCUGUAAAACCAAUCCAAAAGUUUUUGUGGAUAUUUGGAUGGAAAUUGAGUCGUGACUGAUUAUGAUAUUAUCAUACUGGGCAUUUUUCUCUUCGCUCUUAGUUAGGAUAGACUUCGUGCAAAUCAAUGGUGCCCCAACAAGCUAACUUCACUCCUUUGGUUUCUUGGUGCUCGUCUGAAAUGUGGUUUUGUUAGGUAUAUUGGUCAUUAAUACUGAUGUAGACUAAAAACUUUGCCAAUCCUCAUUAAAUUUAUAAUACAUUUUUUUCUCUUAUUUUUUAAUUACACAUUCUCCAAUAAUAAUAAUAUUACACAUAAAUAAAAACUUUUCAUUUUUUUCACCACAUAUUCUCCCAAAAAACUAUUCCAAAAAUUAUAACAUCAAAUAACCGGGCCAAAAUGGAGCUAAAUUAUAUGCUUCGUCCCCAAUCUUUGUCCCUCAUUACACUUUUGCUCCCUACUUUUUUGAGUGACAUUUUUAACAUCGGCCUUUUCAUUAGUUAAGGCCGUUGUCUCUACUACCGAUUUUCACUGAAAAGUUAUGUUUAUCAUAGAAAGACAGAAUUUGCCCUUAAACUUCAAAAAACUAUAUUUCCAAGCCUUUUGAAAAGGUAUAAUUACAUCCAAAACCUUUUACUUUUGGCAACUAUAGAAAUUAAGUUGAGCGAAUAUAUCCUUAUCGUAUCCUGGAUGCUCCAUUAUGUAUGGGAAGAAUGGACCUUUCGGUAACUUGUAUUAUUAUCUUGAUUCCCUUAAAUUUAUGACAGAUGCCAAGAUGUUUUGCGUGUUUGCAUGUUUGGUGUGUGUACAAAUUUUUUGGGUUGGUCAAUCUCAACCGUAUCAUGCUUGAUUGAUACCAAGUUGGGGACAUUGGGAUGUAUAUUACCCCAAUAUACUUUGGACUUGAUAUCUUAGGGCUAUCCUACCUUGUAUUUUGUAAUUUAUUAUACUCUCAUGUCAGGCAUUAAGUGUCUUGUUAUAUUGUUUCAUUUAGGACUUCGUCCUCCAACUCACUCCUUCCACAAAAGGAACAAGUUAGGCACCUUGCAUCUUCUCUAGACUCGUUGGUUUGAUCUGAAGAUAGCUGUCAAACUUGAUCAUUUUUUCUUGACUUUCAACAUCAAUCAAAAUGUAUAUACUCCAUAAAAGAUGAGCGUUUAUGGUAUUAUGUAUAACAUAUUAACAUAUGUAAUGCUAACGCUUCCCUACCGCAAGUUUUUUCCCACGAUUUGAGGGAAAAAAAUAAAAAAUAAAAUAACAAUGUACACACUUAUUCUCAUAAAUGCAUUAAGUUAUCAUCACGUGUCUAAGUAGCCUUAGGACGCUUCACAACUACUAAUGGGCAUUUCACGUGCUUAGCACAGUAAUCACUAACGCUUCCUAGUAAAGCCCUGCAAGUGUAAGAGAGAGUAAUUGCAUUCAGAAAUCAGAAUUACAAGAAAAUUCAACAAUGCUGAAUUUAGAAGCGAAGUUAAGGUACCUUUUGAAGAGACCAUAGUCGUGGCUUCCCAUGACUAAGAUGUCGGCUCCAAGUUUCUCGACAGCUGUGCAUAUCGCGUAUUUAGCAUCUCCACUUCCAACUUUUUUCUCCACUGCGACCUGCAAUUUUCCAUUCGUCAUUUCAGUACCUUUGCAUAACACACAAUCCAUUCACACAGAGGAAAGAGAACACAUACAGUAGUAUUGAAGUUCUUGUAAACUGCCUCCGCCCUUCUCAUCACUGAAUUUGUCAAGUCACUGUUGUGUUUUUCCAUGGUUGCAAUGACAUCAUUGGCAAAUAGAUACCCUACAAAUCAUGGGACUCUUCUUCAGUAGUUCGAAAUGAAACACGAGUUAACAAACUUAAGUUACAUGAAUUUAGUCUUUAACAUAUUUCCUCCCUGCAUGCUAGAUUCAUUUUUAAUCAAAGGUCUAGCACUUGCCUAGGAUUUGUGCCUGUUCUAGUACCGUGUUGAACCACCCCAUCUAAUGACUUAGCUUUUAAGCUACGUGGUGACAAGAGAGAGAGAGAGAGAGAGAGAGAGAGAGAGAGAGAGAGAUCUCUUACCAGUGACAUCUAGAGGAGGUCUGAUGUAGAGGAGAAUUAGGGUACUUGUUGGUAUAUGGUUUUGGGACAAGAGGUUGUCGAGACACCAAGAUAAUGCAUACAUGCUCUCUUCACUUUCAUCUACUGCCACUACUAUUUUCCUUCCCUCCAUGUUAUUUUCUUCCGUUAUAGACAUCCUUAGAAUGAUUUUAGAGAAUUUUCUUGAUUUGAAGACAGCCUGCCUGGUUGUUUGCUUUUAUAGCCAAAUAGUGAAAGCCGUAUCUGGGUUUAAUCUUACAAUUAGGCUAUGCUAAUGAGAUAUUAUAGUGUUGUGAAAUUCCAACAAUGCCAUUUCAACAUUUUGGUUUUGGGAAUUUGCUAUACUUGUGUUUCCAUAGUUACACGUACUUGACCCGACUAUAAUUGAUAGGAAAUUCUAAGUCUAAUUUUAAUGUGUGGGGUCAAAAGUCCCCACUGAUUUAACAAGAAAAGCCUCUAUUAUUGGUAUUUUGUCAAUGGUGUCUAUUUGAAGUCCAUUUCAGUAGUUACCCCAUAGCCAACUUGAAGCCAAUGAGAGCUACUUUUGUGUCAUCUAACCUUGAAAAAGCUAUAAAACCGAUCCAAAAUGAAAGGUUUUGGUAGCAUCAAGGUGGAAUAGAAGCAUUUUAGUGAAUUAUUAUCGUGACAUCAUCCAUAACGUAACGAUACUUAACACCGAAUUGACGAAUAUAAAUUCCAAUUGUAUUGUUUCAAGUAGAAUACAAUUUAGCUUUUCCACUUGUAAUAAAAUUAGUAUAUUCAAGUUGAGACUUCUUUUUACUCACUCGGUAUUUAUAUUUAGAAUGCUCCAAUUUAUUUUUUACAAUGAUUAAAUUUUUGUCUCUUGUAGUCCAUCGUUUUCUUCCAAUUUUCGAAUUUUUGACUAAAUUUUCGUAAUAAAAUUAACAAGAGCAUAUCAUAGACAUGAUCUAUAGUUGAAAAUGAUCAUCAUUGAAGAGAAAUUAAAGUGCAAUUUUCUGGUCUUUUAGGGUAGGGCAACAACGAUGCAUGCACUUGCCAUAAGGUAAGAUAUACCUUCUUGGAGCUUAGCUCGGGGUGAUAUUAUUGCCACAAAAAUAUCUUCAUUAGGAGGGUAAUGUUAACAAAUAUCUUUCAUCAAAAUAUCUGUUUUUAGUCUUGCACCAAAGAUAUUAUUAGAGGCUAUGUUGAUAUCUCAUUUUUGUAGGUGAAAAGGUCCGACUGGACAUUGAACUUACAGGCCAAUAUCAAUUUGGUCUUUAAACUUUAAUUUGUUUCACAUUGGUCACUGAACUGUUAUUUGGUCCAUACAAGUCCAACGGCAAUUAAUUUUGUUUUGCAUAGAUCAUUUUUAUUUUCCUUGCAUGAUGCAACUCAGCUAUUGUCUAUUUGGAUUAACAUUAAUUUCCUCUUAAGACUGCCAAAUGUGAAAAAAAAAAUUUAAAGUUUAACGAUCAACAAAAAACAAAAUUUAAAGUUCGGUGACGAGUUUAGAACAAAUUAAAAUUUGAGUGACUGAUUUUUUACUGCAUUUUUAUCUUCCAAUUAAAUUGACCGCCAAACGAGGCUAAGUAAAUCACGUAUGACAGUGAAUGGCAAUAUGUCAUGGAAAUAGAAUAAGGGAAAAAUUCAUAAUCCAGGUGUAUUAUUUACACUAAUUCAAAAAUCAAGUAUAUAGUUUAAAAAUUCAAAAUUUAAGUAUAUACGUAAUUAAUUAAAAAUAUUUAUUAAAUAAAUAUAAUAAAAUCACAGUUAUACGAUUAAUGGUCAUAUAUUUAUUUGCUGGUCACAUAUCAUCGAAUUAAUUGAUCACAGUUUAUUUUGUGGUCACAAAUCAAAAAUUUUGUGAGUCACAUAUUAUUUGAAGUCACUGGUCACAUAUUUUCAAAUUUAUUGCUCGUAAAUUAUUUUUUUAGUCACAAAUUAUCGAAAUUUAAGGUCAAAGAUUAAUAAUUAGUCCAAAUAGUUGGUCACAUGCACCAAACACCCUACCACCAAUCUCAAUCCAGUACCAAUCUUGGUCACAAAUCACCAGCACACAACUUGCUUGCACUACACCACUGUUGUAGCCCAAAAUUGGCACCACAAUCACCGUGUCAACCAUACCGCUAAAGUCAGCACCACUACCACCGCAACACGAUGUUGACAACCAACACCACCACUAAAUAUCACCAUGAUGGUUGCUUCAACAUCAUCGUCUGAAUCAUUGUGACCACCACAUACACUGAUUGCAUCAUAACUGCCAUCAACACAGCCAACCACCCAAAAAAAUAAAAAUAAAAAUAAAAAAACCUGACCAAAGAUGCACCAUCAUCAUCCCAAUACCACUAUUGCAUGUAUUACUUACCACACCAGAACCAAUAGCAUCUCCGUACACGUCACACACAACACACAAUCACCAUUGCAAAUUGCAAACUACUGCAACCACCAUAUACAGAUAUCACCACUGCCAUUACUAGCACCACCUCAACCCCCAAAACUAGAUCCAAAACCACCCCAUUCUCAAAUCCGCUACUACAGCAACAUCAACAAUAAAUAAAUAGCUUGGUAGCAAAUUGAAAGGAAGUGGCGAGUCUGGGUUUUGUACUUUAGGGCCAAAGGUAAGGCUGUUCGUUCUCACUUAGAUAUGGACCUUCCAAGAAUCGGACCUUCAGCAGGGAAAUUUGAAGCUGGGGUUGGGCGAUAAACUAAACUCAUUAUUUCUUGAAAUGACUUAUAGAUUUUUAAAAUUUUUGAAGUUAAGAAUUUUUAAUAGAGAAAUUAUAAUUCAUCAUCCUUGAUUCAAUUAAUUAAAUUUAAUUCUAAUUUUAUCUUCCUUCAAUUUUAAUUCCUAUACAUAAAUCAAUUAAGUACUUAAAAUAAACAAUUAAUGAAAUGAUUAUCUAAAUAAAUAAAUAAUUAAUUGAUUAAUUAAUUAACUUAAAUAAAGAAAGAAAAAUACAAACUUAUUUGGAGAAAAGGAGUGAAAAGGAGGCGUGUCCCACUUCCACAUUCAUCCCCUAUGAUAAGGGUUAAAUGUACAAUUUGAGAAAUUGUAUUUUUAACCAUUAGGAUAAAUAUACAAAUAUCUCGUUUCAUUAUAAAAUUACACCUGAGAAUUGGGUUAAUAUGAAAUCACUCCAUCUUUAUAACAUUGCACUUCUAAUUCUCAUAGUAUUAUUUUAAUUAUAAUUCCUAAAAUAUCUAUACUGUUAAUUCAAUUAAGUCCCUAAAUUUGUUUUAAAACUUUCUAAAAUAUCAAAAAUCUUUAUAGAAAAUUUAGGAAUGUUACAUUAUCCCUCACGUAAAGAAAUUUUGUCUUCGAAAUUUAAAACCUACCAAAUAAUUCUGGACAUUUAAUCUUCAUACCUUCUUCCUGUUCCUAUGCUACUUCUUCUGAGGCUUGAUUUCUCCACAAAACCUUGACAAGCGGAAUACGUUUGUUUUGUAAUUGUUUAACCUCUCGAAGUAAAAUUUUCACUAGUCUUUCUUCAUAGGUUAAAUUAGUUUCUAGAUCCAAUGGAUUAUCCGAUAAUAUAUGUGAAGCAUCUAGAACAUAAUUUUGAAGAGCACGGACAUGGAAUACAUUGUGGAUUCGAACUAUUGAAGCUGGUAAGUUCAACUUAUAGGCUACUUUACAAAUCUGUUCCAAGGUUUCAAAAUGACCAACAUAUCUGAGACUAAGUUUUCCCAAAUCUAAAUACCCUUUUCAUUAGUACAACUUUCAGGAACACUUCGUCUCUGGUUGCGAAUGCUAAUAGUGUAAUGCCUCGACCCGCAUGAAUCGAAACGUCACUAGAUUAAUUGUACUUUAGCCAUAAAUUUGUUUAACUUGUUUUUAGUAGAAGUUAUAAAGAAUUAAUUUUUUUUUAUAAUUUAAUACUAAAAGAAAACAAUUUCAAAAAAAGAACUGAAUUCAUUCAUACCGUAUAUGCAACAUACCGCAUUUUCAGCAUACUGUAUUUACCACAUAUCGUAUUUACAUCAUACCAUAUUUACAGCAUACCGUCGAAUCGGAAAAAUUAGGUGCUAUCAUAUAGCUUUGUAUCGGCUAAGUUCAUGAGUCACACCACCUUUCAUAUAUAUAACUAUCCAUUAACCUGUGUGGUAAUGAAAUUGAUGACUCGACCUAGACAUGAAAUUUCACACAUUUUUUUCACUUGAUAAAAUGACAUAAGCUAUGUUUCUAAACCAAAAUCAUAUCACCAUAAUCAAACAUAUAUAUAUUCUGAGUUUAUAAACAUGUCUACAUGCCAUGUCAAAAGAUAUACAACGUAGAUCCCCAAUAUACAACAAAAUAGGCCAUAAACACAAAAUAGCAGUCCACAAAAUAAUCUUACAGGUCGUCAUCUAUGUACAUCGAAUUCUAAAAUCUCGUAAGAGCUCCAAGCUAGCCGUGCUCUCUAUGUAGUUCCAUGCUCACCUACAAUAUGCAAGAGCUAUAUAAGCCAAUGCUUAGUAAACAAAAAUCAUGCAUGUCAUGAAUAUGAAUAAUAACGAUAUAUGUCACUAUGUCAUUUACUUUAAACAUCACGAUAAAGAAGCAUCGUAUUCCAAUAUUCAUCAAAGUCGACUCGAAAUUGUUUCAUUUGAAACCUUUCAUUCCCUUAACCCACCUACUAUGCACUAGAUAGAGCUCUACAUAAUACCAAUAUCAAUAAUCAAAUGGCUAACAUGUGACGAGUGGACCAUCCUCUCGUGACCACUAGAGGCCCAUCUCCUAACUACCCCUAUGAUCACCCAAGAAGUCUCCUAUCGACAACGCCAAUAAUCAUAAUAUCACAAGGGCACAGUCGAGUGGUCCACCCUCCCGUGAUCACCAAAGGCCCAUCCCCUGUCUACCUUUGCAAUUACCUAGGAAAUAUUACCCCGCAAUGCCAAACAUAUCACAUAAGCAUGCCUCACAUGCCUUGGUGCCCUAGUAGUGAUCAAUAAAACAUUUAUAAAGAAAACCCACUUUGAAAUCAUGUUUCACAUGCAGGAUUUCCAACUGAUAAGAGUGCAAAAUAUAAUAAUUUUCCCCUCUUAAUUAUUGCAUUCGUGUUACUAUUUGAUACCAAAAUGUACUAAUUAUACUUAUGAUUUGAUUCAGGUAUCACCUUGGUAGAAAAGUUGAAAUUUAGAAGAAAAAAGCGAAAAAAAGGACCAAAAUGGAAGAAAGUGAAAGUUCAAGGACCAAGUUGCAAAUAAUUCAUAAUGAGACGGGCAAUGGAAUGAUGAUUCAAGAAAUCUAGGAGUCAAUUGGGUGUAAUUUGAAGUCAAAAGAAGUGAAAUAUGACCAAAACAUCUUCACAAAUCAAUUCCCAAUUGAAAAAGUUACGUAUCAAUUUUCAGUCUUAUAUUAGGACCAAUUUUUGACAUGGAAAAUGAUCGAUCUAGAAGAUGAUUCUGAAUCAAAGUUGUAGCGCUUUAAGUUAUCUUUCCAAAGCAACUUGAAUCACCUUAAUGGGACAUUGGGAGAGAAAUUUAUGGCCAAAAUACUAAAAGCUAUCCGGCGGAGAAAAUGGUGACAACCAUGCGGUCGCAUGGUUAUAAAGCCAUGCGGUUGCAUGGCUGUCUUCCGAGAACUUCUAGGGCCAUUUUGGUUGAACCAUGCAGCUGCAAGCAUUUUUUUUAUGGCGAAAUCCCAGAUUCCUAUUUUAACACGGACACUUAUGGAAACUUUUGGGCACACGUUUUCAAGCCCUAAUCUCGACCCAUAACACCAUUCUUCUUCCUCUCCACAUCAAUUUCAUCUUGGCUGAAGAAAUCCAUGAAGAAUUAAACUUAUUGGUGAAGCCACAAAGGAACUCGGUUAGAUUUGGGAAUUUUCAUAUUUUUUUUUGCUUAAAUGUGUUCUUUCAUUGUUAAACAAUUCUAGAUUUAGAUUUCUUAUUCUUAUGAACAUGUUUUGGGGUUGGUUUAAUUUGUAUUAAAUUUUCAUGAAUUCAAUCACGUUUUUUCCAUCGAAUAAUUGAAGUACUUAUUGAAUUUCAAUCUUAAAUCUCCUAUUGAUGUGAUUCUUUACCAUUAUAUGCUUGAUAUAUUUAAUCGCUUUUGGAUCUAAUUUCAAUAUAUUAUUGUGGAAUUAUAUUAUGAAAGAAAUCUAGGUUUGGGGAAUUAUUGUGGAAUUGAAUAGGUUUGAAGGUUAAAUUUUCCAAUUAAAAUGUUGGGAUAAAAACAUUUAAUUGAGUAUUAUCAUGCAAAAAUUGACAUUGAUUGAACCAAUCUAAUUGAGGGAAUUCCGGCGCUUCAUUAUUUCAUAUAUUGAUAUUAAACUUUUACUUCAAUUUAUUCCAAUCGACAAAUUAUUUUCACACAAAUCACGACACAAAUCCUAAGCUUGAUCCUUUAAAUAAUUUUUCAUUUCCCUGUGGAUACGAUACCCCAAAGCUUUACUACAAUUACCUCAUUAAUCUUUAGGCGUAAUCACCAACCAUGAUCACAUGUCAUGCAUAUAUAUGAAAAUGCUCAUGAAUGACAUAUUUAAUGAAAAUUGAUAUCAAUAGGUUCCGCAACCUCAUACUCAACGAUCAUAACCAUCAUAUAAUGUGCUAUAAGCCUCUUAUGAAACUUAUGUAAAUAUUCCAAUAUUACCAUAUCGCAAAUACUAGGUUCUUGCAUCGUAGUUGAAAAUGGAUUUUUACUUACCUUUCGCCUUUGUGUGUGCAAGCUCCUACGGAGUGUAUAUCAAUUUCCUUUUUUGCACAACGUUGAAAAAUCACCUUUAUUACCAUAUAAUAUUAAAGACAAUCCUCCAUUUAAUAACCUUAACACACACAAUCCCAAAAUACGUCCAUUCACACCAAAAUAAUUUAGACAAAAUCAUUAUUGCAAGUUACUGAUGGCAUUACAAACUAAUCCCGUAAGUCUCGCUAUUUUUCGAAUCCAAUUAUGGACGUCAACAUCAUCCAAUUGUUGUCAUUAACCUUGUACUCCUUAGAAUCUAUUUUCUAGGCCCAAGAGUUCAUUAAUGGACAUAUAAAUGUUGAAAUCACAUUAAAUGCCCAAAUGGAAAGAAUCUGUUUUCUAGGUUUCCAUCGCCAUCCACUCAUUUUUCGAAUUCUUUUUCAUGCCCUUACCUACAUUUAACGGCUCCCAAAUUUUACCCCAUGCCUAUAACAUAUAUGUGAAGAUAAUCAGGUCAUAAGGUUGUUACAAAUGAGGUGUUUUGAGCUUCAAAAACAGUCCAUUUUUCACUACACAAAAUCAGGCAGUUUUUCCCGUUGACUGUUUUAUGUUUCCAUUUUAUUAGUAUGAUACCAAUAGAAUUCUAGGCCAUUAAAGAUCAUUUCUACACUUCAUACUUACAUAUAAAAAUGUUCAUAUCGAUAGAUAUAAGUUACACACUAAGUAUCGUCCCAAAAUCAAGGUAUAUACUCAAAUCCAGCAACCUAUAUCUCUGCCCAGGUUGUUUUCCCUCAAGUUCUUGUAAUUGAUUACCUCUAUUUUGGCGUCAUAAAAUCAUUAACAACACUCCAACCUAAGCACAAGCAAGUUCAGAUGUUCAAGAAAUUAUAAAUCCCUUAAGAAAUAAUGGAUACAAGCCUCAAACCGUGAAGUAACAAAGCUGUCAGAAAUUCCAGCUUCUUGUUUCUAUUUCUUUUUGACUAUUUCACUCUCUUUUUCACUUGAAAUCACUUAGAGACGAGCUAAGAGAGUUAAUAUAUUGUCUAGGAGGUAAUGAGUGGUCUUUAGGUGGUUGAGGUUGUGCAUAUUGCUUAAGGGUGAAGAAAAAUGUGAACAAAGGACAAGUGUCCUUAAGCAUGAGCUGUCGAAGCAUGAUGUGUCUUCUUAGCAGCAAUACUUGACUUUCAACCAUUAUAUUUGGAUCCAUUUGUGACUUUUAAGAUAUAUAUUCAUCCUAUAUUAAGUUCUUGGGGAGCAGACACGAAAUUGAUGCCUUAAGGUUGAAGAAAUUGAGUGUUAAAGUGACAAACAUUCCAAGCACAAGGUGUUCAAGCAUGAGGUGGUUACUUGUAGUAAAAAUCUGCUUUUAUAUCCAUCAUUGUAGGUACAAACCAAGUAUCCUUGGCUUGUUUUGAUGUUUUUACAAUCCAUUUCACUUGCCCUAAGAUCCCAAAAUAUAUUAUAGAGCUAAUUCCUCAACCAUUCAUUUAAUUUCUUACCCGAUUGACACCCGAUUUUCAACCGAUUUCAACAAUUUGCACCUCAAUAUUUAUAAAGGUAUAUGAGACAUAUAUUAUCGCGAUGUGAUCAUGUCACUUCAUGCCUCAUGUCCCAAAUAUGUCAAUUACCUAUCUAGGGUUUAAGGUGACCUCGAUUAGCCGAAUGGAAAGCUUGAACCUUCAUCGAUACUAAUUUUCGGCCUUUCCAAUAUUACAUUACUUACCAAGCCAAUCUCCAACAUUUAGUUAACCUAAUUUUCUAUUAUAGAUUAAUACAAAAUUCAUCAUCUAGGUCGAGGAGUCGAAGGUUAUCGCCGUGUAAAAAAUUAUAAAGCCUUAAUGACCGAAUAUAUCGUUUUAAGAGAAAGCAAUUAGAAAAUUGAUGUAAAUGACAAUGUAAUAACCAUGAAAUACAUGAAUCAUAUUGGCAAAAAUUAUAAUAGGAAUUUUGGGGUAUUACACCGUAUAUGCAUGUAACGACUAUUGACGCGGAAUUUUGCAAAACUUUAAAAGUAAUAUUGUUGUUUCAGUUUUUAUCUCAAAUGGUAAUUAUCAAAAUAAAUUUGUUUGCAUAGCUAUCAACCUUGAAACUUCAUCAAAUUUUAAUCUAAAGUAGGAAACUCCUUAUAAUACCACAUAGUGAAAAAUUAGCUUUCCUCGGCAUCAUAUGAGGUGUUAAAAUAUUUUUUUAAAACCCAGCAGCAACCCGGUUGAAAGGUAAACCAGUGCAGUUCACUUAAAAUGACAUAUAAAGUUCAAAAGACAUCAAAACCACAUGAUUUUAAAUUUAUUCAGUAGAUAAUCCAAAAGACUAUCAAAUCUAAUUAGUUUCAUAUAGAAAUUCCAAGUAAAGGUUGAUUUAUGAAUUUUCGAAGUUAAGACAGAAGCUGGAAAAACGGCGACUCUACCUCGUACAGUUUACUUUGUGCAAUAUAUAAAAUUCUUCCGAUAUCGGAUUGACAUGAUUCUGAGUUUAUUCAAUAGCUAACUUAUGAGGCUAUCCAACACCACUUUUUUUGUAUAAAAAUACCAAGUAGCGAAGGAGUUAUGAAUUUUUAAAGACGAGGCAGAAUCUGAAUUUUUUAAAGAGACGACAAAAUUUUAAAUCGCUAACUUUUUUUUUUUUUUUAAAUGUUGAUUUGUAAAUUUAUUCCUAUGACACAUAUCUACUUUCAAACAUAAUUUAUUCACAAAGAGUUUUCAUAAAAUAGAUCCAUACAUGACAUCCAUGGGAUCUAAUUUAAAUAAAACGUAAACAUUUCAUAAUCAACUAAAGAUAUUAAAUCAUCGGCUUCUCCAUAGCAUGUUGCAUCAUCCUUUAUCAUCAUCUACACCCCAAGAAAAAUUCAUUCAACCUAUAGGAAGGGAAUUAACCCAUGAGUUUGAAACUCAAAAGAUAUCAUCGAUUCAUUUCAUUGUCAAAUUAAAAAUUUCGAACUAUAGAUUCAUACCAUUGCACUUAGAUGGAUUUUCGGCAAAAUCCAAUUAUUAUGGAAUUAUCAUAACACGUAAAGCUGGAAAAUGAUUAUUCAAACUAUUGUAGUGCCGAAGCACCAUACCCGGAGGUACCAUUUCAUUCAAAUAUUUAUCGAAAAUCAUAAUUUAAAACGAAGUAAACACUUGCACCUCUACCUACCUUGAAUUUUCUUGGAUAUCAAAGAGCAAAAUGUAUAGAAAGCCUUUCUUCUUCUUACCCUUGUUAUAUAUAUAUAUAUAGAAAAUGAGAUGAAAUUCGGAUUUGAGAGGGGCUUAAUAAAAAAGUGACUUUCCACUUCUUGGAGCCUUUCUUUUUAAUGAAAAAUUAAGUGGGAGAGUUGUAUUAUCAUUAAAUCUAUUAAAUUUGGUCUUUAACUAAGAAGUUGAAGAGUCUCUAAGCCAUAAAAGAAUAAUUCAUAUUAAUGUUUUAUAAAAUCAUCUACAUGGUGAUUCAAAUUUGGGUUGCCUAUAUGAAAUUCCAUGCAGAUGACAAUUGCGGCAACCCAGUUAUCCUUUAAAUCUUUGUAAUCAAAUUUAGUUAAACUUAAUCUCUUAAAUUGUUGGGCUUUUAAUUAACUUAUGGCUUGGGCUUUCAAAAUCUUAAAUAGGUUGAGCUUCCAUAACUCGUUUUUUGAAUGAGCUAGACUUAUGGUGCUAGAUCAUCAUAGCAUAAUAGCCUAAUUUUAUUUUAUUUUUCGGGCUUCUACAUCCCUUACACCUUAAACAAAUUUCGUCCUCGAAAUUUACCUUAUGAAUUGGCAAAAAGUGUCGGAUAUUUGUCUUUGACUUCUUCUCUUUCCCAAGUAGAUUCUUCUACUCCAUGAUUAUUUCAUAGCACUUUGACUAGUUGAAUCUCCUUGUUCCGUAAUUUAUGUACCUUUCGAUCCAGUAUUUUUAAUCGGUAAUUCCUCAUAAUAUAAAUCUUUCUGUACUUCUAGGGGUUGAUAAUUCACUAUGUGAUUAGGAUCAUACACAUAUUUCCUGAUCAUCGAUAUAUGAAACAUGUUGUGGAUGGCUGAUAGUUCAGGUGGCAAAUCCAGUCGAUAAGCCCCAUUUCCGACCCUGUCAAGUAUUUCAAAAUGUCUGAUAUAAUGAGGCAUAGUUUGCCUUUCUUGCCGAACCUAAGUACACCCAUUAUUGGUACCACCUUUAGAAAAAAUUUCUCUCAAACUUCAAAUUCCAAGUCUUUUCUUUUGGUAUCUGCAUAGCUCUUUUGUCUAUCUUGCGAUGCCUUUAACCUAGAACGGAUCUUAUCAAUAGCUUCGACUGUCUUUUCAAUGAUCUCUGAUCCCAAACUCUCUUUUCUCCAACUUCAUCCCAAUGAUCAGGUGAUCUGCAUCUUCUACCAUAGAGAGCUUCAUACGGUAACAUUUCAAUAAUUGCUUGGAAACUAUUAUUAUAUGCAAAUUCCACUAAAGGUAGAUACGAUUCCCAACUACCUCCUAGAUCCAGAACAUAGGCCUUUAGCAUAUCUUCCAAAGUUUGAAUGGUCCUUUCAAAUUGACCAUUUGAUUGAAGGUGAUAUGUCGUACUGAAAUUCAAUUUCAUUCCUAUAGCUCCUUGUAAGCUCUUUCAAAACUUUGACGUAAAUCUCGAAUUUCUAUCGGACACGAUAGAUACAGAGACACCAUGCAAUUUUACAAUCUCUUUAAUGUACAACUGAGCUAGCUGAUCUAGACUGAAUGUCACUUUUUGCAGGAAGGAAAUGAGCGGACUUUGUUAGACGAUCCACUAUUACCAAUAUAGUAUUGUGUCUUCUUGCUGACUUUGAAAAUCCUACCACAAAGUCCAUUGAGAUAUUCUCCCACUUCCAUUCAGGUAUGUCCAAUAGAUUUCCUACUAGUCUUUGAUGUUCUGGUUUAACUUGUUGGCACACAAUGCAUUUUACCACAAAUGAGCCUAUACUUCCUUUCAUGUUCCUCCACCAAAAUGUAUCUCGAAGGUCUCGAUACAUUUUCGUACCACCAAGAUGUGUGGUGUACGGGGUGGAAUAAGCUUCCUCCAAUAUCUCCUUUCUCAAAACUUUAUCCUUAGGUACACAAAUUCUUCCUUUAAACAUUAGUGCCUGAUCAGAAGCUAUUUCAAAAUCCUUUCUCUUAUCAGAACCAAUCUUGUUCUUGAUCUUCUGCAAAAAUGGGUUUUUAUCCUAUGCUUCUAUAAUCCGAUCUCUAAGAGUGGGUCGAACCAUCAAAGUUGCUAAAUGAGCAGUGACUUGAUCUAGUAUGGUAAUCACUUCAAUUCGCAAAUUUUCCAAGUCUUUGAUCAACUUCAUCGGAAUAGUAGAUAAUGAUGCCAACUGUCCCAUCGACUUUCUACUUAGAGCAUCAACAACAACAUUAGCCUUACCAGGAUAGUAAUGAAUAGUUACAAUCAUAAUCAUUUACAAGCUCCAACCAUCAUCUCCGUCUCAUUGAUGAGUGCUCUACACUCAUGAUAUUUAUACCACCUAAUUUGUUAUUUUGCUACUCUUGAGAGUGUUUUAGAACGUUUAAUGUGUGUUUUGAUGUUGUGAUGUAGAUUGAUGAAAUUGAAGGAAUUACGCAAAAGUUGGUAAAAUUGGAGAGAAUGGGCCAAAUUGUAAAAGAUCCAAAGUUCGGGGACUAAAAUGUAAAUAAUCUAAACUUGUAUCAAACCUUGGAGUGUUAGGAUUCAAUUGGAUGAGGAAAGAUGUCAAAGGGAUCAAAUUUAGGCAAAAUGUGAUCACAAAUCAAUUUCCAAUCGAAAAGUUAUGCUCCAGAAUUUCAGUCUCAUUUUGAGACCUAUUUCUAAUAUAGUAAACGAUUGAAUUGGAAAAUGAUGUUUGAAUAAAAUUUAUUUCCCUUUGAGUUAUCUUUCCAACGCAUCUUGAAUCACCUCAAUCGGAUAUCGGACAAAGAAGUUAUAGCAAAAAUACUGAAAGGGGCGAAAACCAUCUUUUCCACCCGAAGUGGGCGCCAUGGCACCCACAUUUGGCACCACAGCGCCCAAGAUGCUGAAAAUUAAUAGUGAAUGCGGCGCCACGGCGCCCAUCUUGGACGCCAAGGUGCCGCCUGUGCGCAAAAACAGGAUUUUAUAUUUAUGGAAUCUUUUCUUGGCCCAACUCAACCCUAAUUCGUCCAAUAACUUCAAGAUACUAUAAAUACCAUUUAAAAGACCUAUUUUCAAGAAAGGAUGGAAGGAGGCAAGAUUGAAGGAUUCAACCACACAAUUUGAAGGAGGCAAAAAUUGAAGACACAAAAAGGAAAGAGGAAAAACAUCAAGGAAGAAGAUUGAAGAUCUAUCCAAAAGACUAGUUUUUUCUAUCAUUUUCCUUAUGUUGUUUGUUAUAAUUUGUAUGAUUUUCAUUUAUUAUAUCAUGAACUAAACAAAUUAUCUAGGGGUUUGAUGUAGCCGAAUCGAGUAUGGUUUGAUGAUUUUAUAAUUAUUUCUUUGAUUUUUCCACAUAUAUUUAAUUGUGUCAUGAUUUUAAUGCUUUCAAUUACUUGAUCAAUAAUUGAAAGAAUAGAUGCUAGUCAAUUCCGGCACUUGAGAGAGGCGAAUUUAGGCGUGAUCAUAAGAUUGACACAACAUAGGUUUUACGGGUUUCGAGAGAAAGUGUAAAAUCUGUGAAGCUUACUCCAUACAAGAAUCAGGACUUUUAUAAAUUCUUGAUUUUCAAUUCGAAAUAGAGAUAUUGAAAUUGGAAUCUAUGAUUAUUUUCUAGCCGGCACUCGAGAGAGGGGAGAGGAAUUUAUUAGGAUUCUUGCUUUUAAAUAUGGGAAAAUAAAAUGGAAUUAUUGGAAAUCGUUAAAUCAUAAUUGAGAGUUAGGUGAAAGCAAUCCCUAGGCCUUCUCAUUUGAUUAUUUGCAUUCUCCAAUUUUAUCGCAUCCAAUCACGUUAGAUUUAGUUUAUAUCAUUCACUCAUAAAACAUUAAAUCCAUUUAAUCAUACAUUUGUCUAAAUAAAGUAGAAAUUGCACAAUUAUAGUACUUAGUGAAAUUUAAAUUAUAAUCACUGUGAGUUCGACACUCUUUACUCUAUUACUAUAUUACAAAACUUGACACCGUACACUUGCGGUAUAAAAUUACGUUGCAUAAAUUGUGUGGCACUCAUAUUCAAUUCCUUAUGUGUAAAGAAAUAUUUGAGACUCUUAUAAUCCAUGUAUCGCACUUUCCUGCAUAUAGGUAAUGGCAGCAUAUCUUUAAAGCACAAACUAUCGCCGCAAGUUCUAGAUCAUGCAUUGGGUAGUUCUGCUCAUGUUGCUUUAAUUGCCUUGACGUAUAGGCAACCACUUUUCUAUGUUGCAUUAGUACACAUCCCAAACAUUAUUUGGAUGCAUCACUAUAUAUAACAAACCCCUCUGACCUUCAAGUAUGGUUAACACGGGUGUUGUAACCAAUCGUUACUUUAACUCCUGAAAGAUUUGCUCACGUUUAUCUAUCCAUUGAAAAUUUACUCAUUUCCUUGUCAAUUGUGUCAUUGGUUCAGUUAUUUUGGAGAAUCCUUCUGUAAAUCUCCGAUAGUAUCCAGCCAAUCCCAAAAAACAUCAAACUUUACCAGCAUUAGUCGGUAUCUUCCAAUUAGUUACCGCUUCCACCUUUACUGGAUCUACUUCAAUUCCUUGGAAAGUAACUACAUAACUGAGGAAUCCAACUCGCUCAAGCAAAAAUUCGCAAUUUUAAAUUUGGCGUAUAACUUUUCCUUACGCAAUGUUUCGACACUAUUCUAAGAUGUUCUUCCUGUUGAUCUUUACUCUUGGAGUAAAUCAAAAUGUCAUCGAUGAAGACUAUAACAAAUUCAUCCAAAUAGUGAUGAAUACUCUAUUCAUCAGAUCUAAAAACACUGUCGGAGUAUUUGUCAAUCUGAAUAGCAUAACUGUGAACUUGUAGUGUCCAUAACGAGUUCUGAAAGUUGUCUUAUGUAUAUCACUUUUCUUAACCUUCAAUUGAUGAUAUCCAGAUCGUAAAUCGAUCUUAGAAAAUAUCUUAGCCCCUUUCAAUUGAUCAAACAAAUCCUCCAUUCUCAAAAGAGGAUACCUAUUCUCGAUGGUCAAACGGUUGAAGUCCUGAUAGUCGAUACACAUCCGCAUACUUCCAACUUUCUUCUUUACAAACAAUACCGGUGCACCCUUGAUGAUACACUUUGUCGAAUAAGGCCAAUGUUUAACAGUUCUUGUAACUGGAUUUUCAACUCCUGAAGUUCUUUUGAGGCCAUUCUGUAUAGAGGUUUAGAUAUUGGUGCUGCUUUGGGAACCAAGUCUAUUGUGAAUUUCACUUGUCUAUCUGGUAGAAUACCAAAUAGAUCUUCUAGAAACAUAUCUAUAAAUUCUUGUACCACUGGUAGAUCCUCAAUCUUUAUCGUUGCCAAUUUUUUUCCAAAGAUAUUAACUAGAAAUCCUUGAGAUGUUUCCUUUCUUGACAUUUUCUCAGCUUGUAAGGCCAAUACUAUUUGGAGUGGGGUUUGGUCUUUAUUCCAGGGAAAGAAAAUUGUUCCUCUCCUAGUUUUUGAAAAGACACUUCCUUUUCUCUACAACGAAUGGUUGCAUAAUUAUAUCCUAACCAAUCCAUGCCCAAAAUCACAUCAAAAUCUUUCAUCUCUAUUACAUAGAAAUUUACUUCAAAUGUUUUUUUCCUCAAUUUUAAAAUUCAUCGACCUAGCGAACUGAUCUGUGUUCAAUGUUCUGCCUGAGUGAAUGCUAACUUCUAAUGUACUCUUUGACUUGUUACAAUUAAUACUAGAUUUAGCAAUGAAAGAUGUUGAUACAAAAGAAUGAGUACUUUUGAAUCAAACAGUACAUAAGUAGAUGUAUCAGAUAUCGGUAAUAUACGUGCUAUCACAUUUGAGUUCUCCUCUACAUCCUUCCGAGUCAUUGUAAACACUCAUGAUUUUCCCUUCUUGUUUUGAUCAAUGUUAUUAUCCUUCUUCUAAGAAAAUAUGGGACAAUCCUUAGCAAUAUGUCCUGGCUUACCGCACCGAAAACAAGCAUUCUUCCCAUACAAGCAUUCGCUAUGAUAAGGGUUACCACACUUAGGACAUGGCGCUACUACAGCUAUUAUGCCCUCACUAGUACUAGGUCUAAUAUUAGCCUUCAUAUUUUACCAUUUGCCUUUUCCUUUGUCUUGACCAAUCCAUUUUCUCUUUCCAACUUAUCCUUUAUCCUGUUGGCUGUACAAUUGAAGGUGUUGCUCUACAUUUGCCUUCUGAUACCAAAUAGCAUGAGCUCGUUCCAGCAUCUCACGGUAUGAUAUGAAAUGAUGUGACAUAAGAAUUGUGCUUAGGUCUGGGUUUAACCCUUGCUCAAACCUUCAAGUCUUCUUAAUUUCUAUGUCCACCAGGUGUGGAACAUACCUUGAGAGUUGGUCAAAUUUUCGCUCAUAAUCAGUUAGGGACAUACUACCCUGCUUGAGUUGAAGGAAUUCAUUCUAAUUGAAAUCCCUUAGAGACUGAGGAAAAUACUUGUCCACACUUCCUCCUUGAAUUUUUCCCAAGUUAACGCCAAUUGCUGCUCCGAAGUCCUAGUUCGGGACAUCGAAUCCCACCAAUGACUUGCAUCACUGGUAAACAUAAACUUCGCACACUGGACCUUUUGGGCGUUAGUACAAUCGAUGAGUCAAAAAAUUCACUCUAACUUACGAAACUAGUCUUCAACUGCUAGUGGACCAGAUGCUUCAUUGGAGGAAGGGGGCUUAUACCUUCGAAAUAACUCAACCAUCGAGGCAUGAGUCGGGAGAGUAAUAGGAGCGACUGGUAUAGGUGGAGCUGGAUCAUGAUUCAGCCUGCCAAGAUCUUGAACAGCUUGUAGGAGAUCCCUUACAAAAUUUUCUGGUUUGCUCGAGACAUUUCCCUAGAGAUAAGAUAUAAUAUCUUACAUUAACUUCAAUUUCCAACACCAGAAAAAACCUCAACUUGAUCAGAAUUUAUUUUAUUCAGUACUUCUUGAAACUAGGAUAUAUAAUAGUUCGAUAAAUGUUUACUCUCAAUAACAUAAAGGAAAAGGUAUCACAAGGAAAUUGAAUCUAAAUUUCUAAUCCCUAUAAAUCUUGCGAGUCUUCUUUGGUGGAGAUUCAUCUUUGGAGGAGUCUUUUGCAUCAGGUCCUGACUCUAGGUCCAUUUCAACCUGUGGUUCAGGUUCAUACUCAUGAUCAUUCUCUAAUUCCAACCCAAAGUCAUCCUCAUGGUCUUAUUUGGGAUCUUCCUCUAGAAGGAUCUGACAAUAUAUACCAAAUUCAAUCCUAUUUGGGUGCUCUAGAGGGUUACUUUCUAGCAUCUCAUCCUUAAACAUGAUUCCCAUGUUUCCCCAUUGAGAAGGGAGUGAAUGUAAGAGGUUAUUCACAGCUCGAUAUACACGAUCUCCAGUCUCGCAUCUACUGCUGCCAUACAUUUCUCGUAGAUGUCAUGUAUGUGUUCAACAAGUGGAAGAGAUGAGUUAGUCACAUAGUUCUCAUAGGACUGAAUGAUGGACCUAGGUUCAACGCUGCUCUACAAGCUGUGGCCUUUCUAGCAGUCUGAUAAGUUCUAACCAUGUCUAUCACAUAAGUGUCCAAUUAUGUUUUACCUCUGUUAGUGAUAUCAACUUAUAUAUUAUGCUCUCAAGGUUUUAAUAUAAUGAGCAAUCAUCAUUUCUUCAUGUAUAUUUAAACAAAAUAUAACUUACACAACAUAUUUCAUUCUAAACAUCAAAAACAUUUUUCAUAAAUUCAAGCUUAAAUAAUUUAUAAAUCAUGCUCGAAAAAUAAAGUGGAACAUAAUAUUUCAUUCCAUACCUUGGAUUUGUCGGAUGAGGUCAACUGGUGGAUGCCAGAUACCAUGGAGUGCCUUAAAUAUUUCAUUUUUCUCAUUUCAUAAAUAAGAUACACUAAAUCUAUAGAAUCAAUUAAACUCGUGCUCUAAUGCCACGUUAUAAUGUCCCAACACAAAUGGAUCAAAACGUCACUAGAUUAACUAUACUUUAGCCGUAAAUUUGUUUAACUUGUUUUUAGUGGAAGGUAUAAAGAAUUAAAUUUUUUAAUAUAAAAAAUACUAAAAGAAAACAAUUUCAAAAAAAGAACUGAAUUCAUUCAUACCUUAUAUGCACUUUACAUGUUGGAUUAACACAUACUAUAUAUGCAACAUAUCGUAUUUUUAGCAUAUCGUAUCUGCAUCAUACUGUAUUUAUAACAUAUCGUAUGAGCAUCAUACCAUAUUUAAAACAUACUCUAUAUGUAUGUAACCACUAUUGACGUGAAAUUUUGCAAAACUUUAAAAGUAAUAUUGUUGUUUCAGUUUUUAUCUCAAACGGUAAUUAUCAAAAUAAAUUUGUUUGCAUAGCUAUCGACCUCGAAACUUCAUCAAAUUUUAAUCUAAAGUAGAAAAUCCUUAUAAUAUGACAUAGUCAAAAAUUAGCUUUCAUCGGUAUCAUGAGGUAUUAAAAUAUUUUUUUAAAACCCAGCAGCAACCCAGUUGAAAGAUAAACCGGUGUAGUUCAUUUAAAAUGACAUAUAAAGUUUAACAGACAUCAAAACCACAUGAUUUCAAAUUUAUUCAGUAGAUAGUCAAUGAGACUAUCAAAAUCUAAUUGGUUUCAUUUAGAAAUUCCAAGUAACGGUCGAGUUAUAAAUUUUCGAAGUCAAGACAGAAGUUGGAAAAACGGCAACUCCACCUAGUGCAGUUUACUUUAUGCAACAUAUAAAAUUCUAUGGAUAUCAGAUUGACAUGAUUCCAAGUUUAUUCAAUGGCCAACUUAUGAGGCUAUCCAAUACCACUAGUUUUGUAUAAAAAUGCCAAGUGAUGAAAGAGCUAUGAAUUUUUAAAGAUGAGGCAGAAUUUGAGUUUUUUUAAAGAGACGACAAAACUUUAAUCGCUAACAUAUUUUUUUUAAACGGUGAUUUGUAAAUUUAUUCUUACGACACAUAUCUACUUUCAAACAUAAUUUAUUCACAAAUAAUAUUCAUAAAAUAGAUCCACACACGACAUCCAUAGGAAUCUAAUUUAAAUAAAACGUAAACAUUUCAUAAUCAACUAAAGAUAUUAAAUCACUGGCUUCUCCAUGACAUGUUGCAUCAUCCUUUACUAUCAUCCACGCCCCAAGGAAAAUCCAGUUAACCUGUAGGAAGGAAACUAACCCAUGAGUUUGAAACUCAAUAGAUAUCAUCGGUGAAUUUCAUUGUCAAAUUAAAAAUUUCGAACUAUAGAUUCAUACCAUUGCACAUAGAUGAAUUUUCGACAAAAUCCAAUUACUAUAGCAUUGUCAUAACAUGUAGAGCCGGAGAAUAAUUAUUCAAACUAUUAUAGUACCGAAGCACCAUACUUGGAGGUACCAUUUCAUUCGAACAUUUAUCAAAAAUCAUAAUUUGAAACGAAGUAAAUACUUGCACCUCUACGUACCUUGAAUUUUCUUGGACAUCAAAGAGUAAAAUGUGUGGAAAGCAUUUCUUCUUCUCACCCUUUUUAGCUUAAAUUGAAAUGAAAUAUAUAUUUUUUGGAGGAAAAUGAGGUGAAAUUCGGAUUUGAAGAAGGGUGUAAUGAAAAAGUGACAUUCCACUUCUUGUAACCUUUCUUUUUAAUGAAAAAUUAAGUGGGGAGUUGUAUUAUUAUUAAAUUUAUUAAAUUUGGUCUUUAACUAAGAAUUUGAAGAGUCUCUAAACCAUGAAAAAAUAUUUCCUAUAAAAGUUUUAUAAAAACAUUCACAUGGUGAUUCGAACCUGAGUUGCCUAUAUGAAAUUCCAUGUGGAUGACCAUUGUGGCAACCCAGUUAUUUAUUAAAUUUUUGUAAUCAAAUUUACUUAAACUUAAUCGCUUAAAUUGUUAGGCCUUUAAUUAACAUAUGGUUUGGGCUUUCAAAAUCAUAAAUGGGUUGAGCUUCCAUAACUCGUUUCUUGAAUGAGCUAGACUUGUGGUGCUAGAUCAUCAUAACAUUAUAGCCUAAUUUCAUUUUAUUUCUUGGGCUUCUACAUCCCUUAAAUCUUAAACAAAUUUCGUCCUCGAAAUUUACCUUACGGAUUGGCAAAGAGUGUCGGAUAUUUGUCUUUGACUUCUUCUUCUUUUUCCCAAGUAGAUUCUUCUACUCCAUGAUUUGACUAGUUGAUUCUCCUUGUUCCGUAAUUUAUGUACCUUUCGAUCAAGUUUUUUAAUGGGUAAUUCCUCAAAAGAUAAAUCUUUUUGUACUUCCAGGGGUUGAUAAACAUGGACACUUUCACCCCCUUUUCAGAUCAUCUUUCUUGCUCUAAUAGUUGAUACUAGUAAAGUAGAUAAAUGUUUGAGCAUUCCUUGGAAGGCUACCAAUUCACCAUUAGAUAAACGAAAGUAAAAAUUUCCCAUGAACAAUCUAGAUUGGCUCGAUACUUUGAAAACCAAUCCAUAUCUAAAAUGACAUCACAGUCUCUCAUAUCUAGAAGAAUAAGGUUUGUAUGAAUAAAAUAAGUGUUGAUCAUCCCCUCACAACAAUUUAUUAUUUCUUUAGUUCGUAAUGUUUGGCCAAAUGGAAUAAGUAUCUCUAACUCAGACUUCAAACUAUCAGUUAGCAAAUGAGUCAUUCUAACUAUGCUAAUGGAUAUAACAGAGUGGGAAGAUCCAAAAUCAAAUAAAGUAUAAGCAAAAGUUCCAGCAAUAGGAAGUUACCACCAAUGACUGUUGGAACGUUGCCUAAAGUACUUUCAUUUAGUACGUAAACCUUAGCAAUAGAACAAUUUUCAUUGUCUUUGAGUUUUUCCAUGCAUACAAGUGAAAUAUGUCCUUGUUUACCACAAUUAUAACAAUACACGACCCAGUGUGAGCCUUGUUACACGUAGGAUAUAUCACACUACCUACUGGUUGACUGCAGGAAGUGAUAAUUUAAGCUAUCACAAUAGGAUAAAAACCUCAGCACUACGUCAAAAAUAGGUGGUCGAGUAAGCAACACAAGAAGCAAGCGUUGUAGCUGAUGUAUGAAUUACCCGACUUAGCUCAUCAUCAAUGUUAACCGAUAAGUAGUCGUAUUAGUUGUCCAACUUUUUUGGUUAGCCAGCCGAACAGAUUAUGAAUUUUUGAGUCCGAAAUAAUAAAGCAAAAGUAAAUGAUACUCGUCUUCCUCGAUAUUGAUGUUGACUUAAUACCAACUGCAAACGUUAACAAACUUGACAGCUCUUUUUAAGUAACAAAUCAAAUUAUGAAUAAGAUGUUCAUUCACUUGCUCUAAUUUGAAUUUGAACAUGAAUAUAGCUCAAAUUUACAAAUUGGUAGAUUUAAUCUAUAAUCAAAUUGAACUUGCUAGUUUGACAAAUAAAAUAAAGUGCUAGUUCAAAUUCAAUUAAACAUUUAAAUACUGUUAAAAGAAUUGACAAACUGACCAGUUCACUUGCAACACUAAUUGAUUCCUCUUCAAUAUUUUUUUGUUAUUUAUCUAUUUAGAAUUAUUAAACUGUUUUGAUCUUUUUACGGUUCGAGUUGACGUUGAAUUGAGUUUUUAAAUAAUUGAAAUUUGUGCCAGGUUACAGUUUGAGGUAAAUCAUAUGAAUUGGAGUUCAAAUUAGAAGUAUGUUUGAAAGUUAUUUAUUAUUAAUUUAAAUUAUAAAUAAAUAGAAAUAAGUAAUUGAUAAAGUGAUCUAAUCUAAAUUUUGUCUGAACAACUUGCUGUAGAAAGAGUAAUUCUAUUCGGUAUCAGUUUAUGUGAUAACUGUAUAACAUUAAAUGAUGGAUUUAUUUAAAUGUAAUCUCAUGUGAUUCAUUUAAUUGAAUCUAUCAAGUAGAUAUUUAAAUUGAUAUUGUAGUAGCAUCGGUAUUAGAUAGCCUUAUUAUAUUUCAUAGAGAGAGAGAGAGGAAAUUUUUUCUAUUACAAAAUCUACACAAAUCGAAAUGGACCCACUGAAUAUGAGCAAUAACCCACGCUUUUUGGGCCGCGAGAAAGCCCAUUCUCGUGUGAAUGUUUUAGCUCGCCCCUCUUUUUCAAAUGCUUAGAGCCAUUGAUAAUCAAUCAUACACCUCACAUUCAAACUCAAAAAAGGCGUGAAUUUUUUGUAAUUGAAAAAGAAAAGACAAGAAAAUAAUAAUUUUGUUGGUCAUGCAAACUCUGACAAAGUAAUAUAAUUACAUAGUUUGAAUUUUUUUUCUCGUCAAUUACACAGUAAAAGACAGCUAAAUGACUAAUUUGGGUUUGUUUAACCUCAAUACGUUUACUCUUCGUCAUUAAUCAAUUGAAAUUAUGCAUAAAUUCAAGCUAUUUUAUUUAUUUUUUAAAUAAAAUGUAAGGAGCAAUUCAAAUAAACACGUCACACUUUCUUUUACUUUAAAUGGUUGGAAUAUUUCGAUAUUUUCAUGCGUACAAUGACAUGUAUCGAAAUAGUUGUGUUAAUUAAGUCACCGAACUCUUAACAUUUUAUUUUGAGUCUAACAAGGCUCUACUUCUAAUAGAAGGCACAAAUAAAUGAAAAUAUGGGAAUUUCGACUGCUCUUUUCUUCCUUUAAAAGUUCAAAAAACACCCACAAAACAGAACAAGAAAAGAAAGAAAGAGAAGAGUUAGAAUAUAAGGGGAAAAUCAGUUUGAAAUUCAAAUGGAAUGGAUGAAGUUGUAUUAUUCAUAGAUGAAUUUUCAGCUACUAUACCGAUAUGUAGAAUAUGCCAUGAAGAAGAAUUUGAAAGCCGUAAAUCCAUGGAAGCUCCUUGUAUUUGUUCUGGAACUGUCAAGGUACGUUUUUAAGAAAAAUCUCAUAAUAUUUUGCUUUGAAUUAUGUCCCUGAUUAACUUUGAUUUCGGACUUUCAGUUUGCACACGGAGAUUGCAUAAAAGUCUAGUGGUGCUGGUCACAGUUUCUUUCUCAGUUCGACCGCUGGUCCUUGGUCGCAAUAGGUUUUCGAUGUCUCAGUGUUGGGUUGCUGGAUUUUUCGGUGUUGGGUUGGUGUUUUUGCAUCUUCGAUUGAAGUCUUCGAUCUCAGGUUACACUUGGUUUCUUCUUUCCUUUCCUGGACUGAGGUUUGGGUCAUAGGUGUUGGUUGUGUAGUUGGGUUGUGGUGUUGUUGGGCCGUUGAUAGGGGCUACUAUUAAUUAAUAGUGUUGGGCUAUUGUUUUGAUUAAUUAUUAGUUGGGCUAAAUUAAUUGGAUUGGGCAGAAUUUACUUAGUUAAAUUUUGAUUAAUUUGGUUGGAACAUACAAGAUUCCAUCAUGUCAACUAAUGAGAAUGAGUUGGUUUGUAUUUGCUUUACUGGAAAGAAUUACUCUUCAUGGGCUUUUCAUUUUCAAUUAUUGGUUGAAGGCAAAGAUGAUCUGUACGGAUAUAUUAAUGGAAAUCUUCUACCUCCUAAUUAAGAGAAAAGUAUCUUGCUGGGACAAUCAAAGAUUCCCGACCUAUGGUUUGGAUCAUUGGAUCGGUUGAUGAGUAUAUUGUCCUUAAUCUCAGGCCUUACAAGUCAACCCGUGUUAUGUGGGAGUUCUUGCAGAAAGUCUAUACUUAAAGUAAUAAUGCUCUGUGACUUCAAUUGGAGUUUGAAUUAGCAAAUUUCUCUCAGGAGUUACUUUCCAUUGAAGAAUAAUAUCCAGAAUUCUCUAAUCUUUGGGUAGAGUACACAAAUAUUAUAUAUGCUUCGAUUUCAUCAAACAAUUUAGAAGCUAUCCAAGCUGUACACGAAGUCACCAAGAGGGAUCAAUUUCUUAUGAAAUUGCAAACUGAAUUUGAUUCCAUCCUUCUAGCCUUAUGAAUCGUGAGUCUAUUCCAUCACUAGAUAGUUGUUUGGGUAAAUUAUUGAAGGAGGAGCAGCGUCUUAUCACUUGUAAUUCUUUGGAACAGCAGCAGAAUCAUGUAGCAUCGGCUCCUAUUGCUUAUGUGCUAAAGGAAACUUCAAGUCUCAAGAUAUGUCUGGUGUGUAGGUUUAUAACUCUAAGGGAUUUGGUUACAUGACUCUUUAGUGUCCCAGAAAAAAUUUGCAAUUAUUGAAUGAAGUCUGGCCAUGUUAUUAAGGAAUGUCCCACUCUUCCUUUACGUUAGAUUGGAGCAAAUUAUAUUGCUGCUGCCACUUAACCCUCUAGUUCUGCUUCACCACCUGCUCAUGUUCAAGUUCCAAUGUCUCCCAACUCUUCCUAGACUCCCAUAACUCUUGAGAUGGUUCAAGAAAUGGUUAUCUCUGUUUGUUUGCUUUGGGAGUCUCAGGUAAUACACCAUCUACUCAUUCUUCUUGGUUAUUAGACUCAGGUGCCUCUAAUCAUAAGACUUACGAUCCUCUGUUGCUUAGUAACCUUAGACCAUAUACUGGACCUUUCAAUAUACACACUGCCGAUGGUAACACCCUUCCUAUCUCCGCUGUGGGGAAUAUAUCACCAGGUUUGUCUAAUACUUUAGUCUAUCCUAACUUACCCACUAAUCUUUGAUCUGUUAAGCAACUUGUUGAUAAUAAUUGUCCCAUUUCUUUUUCUUCUUCUGGUUGUCAUGUAUAGGAUCAAGUGUUUGGAAGGACAAUUGUGAAGGGGCCUAAAGAGAGACGUCUGUUUCCUAUUUCACCGAAGCCUGUUCCAUUUUUUUUUUCUAAUUCUACCACUUUAGCUAUUUUUAAUUAGCAUAAAAAAUUGGGACGUCCCAAUUCAAAUGUGCUGUAACACUUGUUAAACUCGGAUUUGUUUGGUGACAAAAAUGUUGUUUCAUUUAUCUCUCACGAUUGUGCUUCAUGUAAACUUGCUAAAAGUAAAGUUUUACCAUUUUUUUGAUAUUAUUCAUAGUGAUGUACAGGGUGUUGCACCCGUGAUAUCUCAUGCUCAUUAUAAAUACUUUGUUACUUUUAUAGAUGAUUACAUUAGAUUUACAUGCGUUUAUUUUCUUUGUACAAAGAGUGAGGUCUUCUCUAUUUUUCAAGCCUUAGUUGCUCUCAAAUGCAAUCAAUUUUCCUCACCGAUCAAAGUCUUAAGUUCCGAUUCGGGAGGUAAAUAUAUGUCUAGUGCUUUUUAAUUUUCUUACAAAUCAAAGGUAUUAUUUUUCAACGAUCUUGCGCUUCUACCCCCCAACAAAACAGCAUGGCAGAACACAAGAACCAUCACCUUCUUGAUAUGGUUAGAGCUCUUUUGAUUGAAUCUUAUGUUCCCUCUCAUUUUGUGUGUGAAGCAUUGUCUACAUUGGCAUCUCAUCAACCGAUUACCUUCUCCCACUUUUAAUAAUGUUUCUCCACUUUUUAAAAUCUUUUGGUCAUCAUCAUCCAUAUUCUCAUCUCCAUCCCUUUAAGUUUGUAUGUUUUGUUCAUUUGCAAUCACAUGAAAAGGAUAAAGCUUACCCAUCAAUCUGUCAAGUGUGCCUUUCUAGGAUAUGGUGGGACUCAAAAAUGGUACAUUUGUUAUGAUCCUACAUUGCAACGAAUUCAAAUUUCUCGUAAUGUAUUUUUUUUUUUUUUUGAAAAACAAUCAUUCUUCAGUUCAAAAACUGUGGUUUUCCCUCUUGUAUUCUUUGUCUUACCUGAUUUUCCUUUAAAACCAUCUCGGUACAAACCUGGCCAUGUUUACACUGCAAGGAUGCUGUAUCUAUCACUAAUCUAGAUCUUCUUUCUCAGAUGAUGGUCCUUCCAAGACUUUCUGAUCCUCCAACUAUGACGCCUGAUCCUGUACCUGAUGAUUUGUCGCCUCCUAUCCCUCUUCGUCGUACUUCUUGUGUUUUUCGACCACCAGACAGGUAUGGUUUUUCCUCCUAUAGUUCUUUGUCUGCUAAACUUAAUUUGAUUUCUAUUCCUUCCUCCUAUAGACAGGCUAUGGAAGAUGAAUGUUGGCAACAGGCGAUGAAAGCAGAACUUGAGGCUCUUGAGGCCAACAAGACCUGGGAUAUUGUGCCAUGUCUACAAACUGUGAAACCCAUUAGCAGUAAAUGGGUAUAUUCCAUUAAAUUUCAUUCCGAUGGUUCUUUUGAGCACUAUAAGACUCGAUUAGUUGCUUUGGAUAAUCGUCAGGAGUAUGAAAGCAUAAAAUGACCACUAUUUGUUUCUUGUUAUCGUUUGCCACUUCCCAGUCAUGAUCUUUGCAUGGGAUGUGAAGAAUGCAUUCUUACGUGGAGACCUCAAGGAGGAUAUUUAUAUGAAACUUCCAUCUAUAUGCCUCUUCCCUCAAUUGACUCUAUAUAUAAGCUAAAACGCUCUUUGUAUUAUCUUAAACAGGCUUCUUAGGCUUAAUUUGAGAAGUUUCGUAGCGCUUUUUUAGAUUUCUCAUUUACUCAAAGUCGGUAUGACGUACCUCUAUAUUUUCACAUAUUGCUGGCAUUAUCUUUUUGUUUGUAUAUGUGGAUGAUAUUAUUAUCUCUGGAUCUGAUCACAGUCUUAUCUGAAAAUUUCAGCAACAUCUUCACUCGAUUUUUUAUAUGAAAGACCUUGGUCUACUUACUUACUUUCUUUGCUUAGAGGUACAUAUUACGUCACGUGGUAACUUCUUGAAUCAAUAUAAGUAUAUUAAAGACUUGAUUGGGUUGGCUGAUCUAUCUAAAGCAUCCUUGGUUGAUACGUCGUUGGAGCUUAAAGUCAAAUAUGGAAAAGAUAAAGGAGAUAUUCCAAAUCCUAAUCUUUAUAAUUUUUUAUAUGAAAGACCUUGGUCUACUUACUUACUUUCUUUGCUUAGAGGUACAUAUUACGUCACGUGGUAACUUCUUGAAUCAAUAUAAGUAUAUUAAAGACUUGAUUGGGUUGGCUGAUCUAUCGAAAGCAUCCUUGGUUGAUACGUCGUUGGAGCUUAAAGUCAAAUAUGGAAAAGAUAAAGGAGAUAUUCCAAAUCCUAAUCUUUAUCGGAAGUUGGUAAGUAGUCCCAUUUCUCUCACUAUCACACGUCCGAAUAUUUACUUUGCAGUUCAUAUUGUAAGCAAGUUUAUGGACGCUCCUCGUCAUCUUCAUUUGGUAGCCAUUCGUCACAUUAUUCGCUAUCUUAUUGGAACUCUUCAUCGUGAUCCCUUCUUUCCUUGAGGUCAUCUCUUGAGCUCACAGCUUAUAGUGAUGCUGACUGAUCUGGUUGCCCUGAAUCCUAUCCAUCUACUACUGGAUGGUGUAUUUAUUAUUAUUAUUAUUAUUAUUAUUAUUAUUUUUUGUGAUGCUCUCAUUUCUUGAAAAUGUAAGAAACAAGUUUGUGUUUCUAAGUCCUCCACCGAUGCUACAUAUUUUGAGAUUGUGUGGUCACGUGGUCGUCUUGCAAAACUUGGUAUCUCCCAAUCACAGCCUAUGCCUCUUCGUGGUGACAACAUUAGUGCUAUUCAAAUUGCAGCCAAUCUUGUGUACCAUAAACACACGAAACAUAUAGAAGUGGAUUGUCAUUACAUUCGGGAUGCCUAUUAUUCCAAGGUCAUAUCUCUUUCCCAUGUUUCCACUUUACAACUGGUCGUAGAUAUCUUCACCAAAUCAUUAAAUCGCCUCUGUCAUAACUUUCUCGUGAGCAAACUGAUACUUGUGGACUCUCCACUAUCAAUUUGAGGAGGAGAGGGAGGAAUAUUAGAGUAUAUUUCCAUGUAUAGGUUAAUAAAUCAUAGAAAAUCAAGGAUUAAUUUCAUUGUAUAGCUAAUUAUUUUCUUUCCUUAUAUAGCUUGUAGCAUUCUGUAAAUCAAAUGUAAUACACACGAGAAGAUUCAUUCCUCAAAACCUUGUCAUAACAGUGUAAAGAUAAGAUCGGCAUUCGUUGAUAAGCUUCAGUUUGGACUAAUCCAAAAUUUAUUAACAUGGAAACAUGCUUCCUUUUGCCAUAGUUGUUUUAAAAUGGAAAAAACCAAUUCCGCCUAUGCCAAGUAAAUUUUGAUAGAUCGUAAAAUUCAGUUUUUAUAAGAUAAAAGCGUAAACAACCCAAUUCCUUUUGCCAAAUGUUUGUUCUGUAAAUUCAGUCUAUCAUUUCCAGAUUUUAUUCUUUAUAUGGUUCAGGACACAUUGUCUCCAGACAUCCAUGACCAUCUUCAAGAAAAAACAAGUGUAAACAGUUCAGCUAAAAAGGAUAUCCAUUCUUGGGAUGCUCCGAACUUGUAAUCAAGUUUCUUUACCAUUUAUAUAUAUAUAUAUAUAUACUCUGGAUGAUUUCAUAUUAAUAUAUAUACUUCACGCCAGUGGGAGUUUGGGAUUAUAAAUACACACACGCAGAGAAUUCUAGUGAGUCAUUCUCUUAUAUAUAUUCUCUCCUUCUUACGCUCUUUCAAAGAACCCGAAAAAACAAGUAAGAAGAAAAAAUUUUUUUGUUAUAAAUCUGCAAAUAUUUAAUUAUGUGAACACCUAAUUUGGUUGAUGUUUAAGAGCAAACAUCUUUGUUGAGUGAAAAAUCCACUGGCUUCUUUUUCUUUGGUUGUCUCUUCUGAUUAUAAACUCGAUUGUUUGCAGAGAAAGAUACAAUAAUCUUUCACAUGCAGGUGAAUAUAAAAUGUGCUCGUAAUCAUGGAUUAUCAAAUAUGAAACUUGAAGAAUUUAUUGUAAGAAAAGAAAAAGUUUGAUUACAUUGUUAUUUUAUAUUAUUAUUCUUGUCUUGAUUUUCUUUCUUCUUUAGGAUGAUUUUUUUAAGUAUCACUGCUUAUGGAAUUACACUUUUGGGAAAUUAAUAAAUUACUAAUAUUCUGAAAAGCUGUUUUUUUAAAUAUGUUUUAAAUAACAUAGAUGCAUGAAUUUAGGGUAGACUGUUGUGUAACAAAAGUAUAUAUGUUGAUAAAACAUUAGCUAGCACGACAAAAGAUGUGGCUUUAAGCCUAAAUUUUAUUUGUUCAUAAAACCCUAAGUGGCUUUAGCAAUUCUUUUUUUGGUCAUAAAAUGAUUGAUUUCUUUCGUAGCAAUACACAUUUUUGGGGUUGGAUUUUUUGCCUAAUGUAUAUGCAUAAAAUAAUUGAGGUAAUAAAAAUGUUGUUUCAGUUAUCUCUCUCAAUUGUGCUUCAUGUAAACUUGUUAAAAGUAAAGUUUUACCAUUCCCGUCUCAUGGUUCUCGUACUUUACAUAUUUUCGAUAUUAUUCAUAGUGAUGUAUGGGGUGUUGUACCUAUGGUAUCUCAUGUUCAUUAUAAAUACUUUGUUACUUUUAUAGAUGUGGUGUAAGUAACAAGAAUUAUGACGUGAAUAUAUUUACCCAUAAUAUUUUCAAAAAGAAGGAAAAUUGCUAUAAUCCUCACCAAGUAAUCUUCAAAACCACCAAGACAAUUGUGAUUCAACCAUUGACAAUUGGCCUUGUAAUAACCGUGUCUAUAAACCCAUCAUUAACUAGUAGAAUGAUGUAAGCAGAAUACUUCAGGUCUUGUGAAAAUCGGGCUUAGCCAACUCCAAAUGAACAUCAAAGAAAGGUUCUUGCUCGUUCUACGAUCCAGGAUAAGAACUAACUCAUGAAUUUUUUGAUCGAAAUCGAAAUGGAGGAUUGGUACGCAAUCUACACAAUACAGAGUUCAUGGAGAAGGCUUAAGGUUUAUGGACUAACAUAAAAGUUUUUAUUGCUUGGAAAUGAAUGAUAUGGAUUGUAAUAUGAAACUUCUAUGAAAAUUAUAUGAACUAGAUUAAGAAUUUUAGUAUACCCUUAAUCAUUCUUUUUCGUCUUCCAACUAUGCUGCUGAGAUGGAAUUCAUAAUUUUUGUACUUUGUGACAUUCUUCCUUCCCUACAUUAUAAUGCUUAGUUUCAUUUCCAACAUAUUGCUACUUUCUUUUACUGGAGGGUCACAUAGCGCUUCUUGAAUUUACUUGAGACUACUUGAUCAGCUCUUGAAGUCUCGAUUAGCUACACAUUAUCCCUCAACAUACUCCCAAGCUCGACUAAGAAUGAAAAGUACUGAUGGUGAAGGCUUUAUAUAUAUAUAUAUAUAUAUAUAUUGACAUUUAAAAUGGUCUUUGAAAUGAAAUAGAGGAAAUAAGUGGGAGUGACUCUUUGACUAACCUUUAUUCCCACAUUGCCCCUUGACCAAUUAAAAAAAAAAAAAAAAAAUUAGACAAAUAAAUGGACAAACUUCCAUAUUUGCUCUCAUCUUCAACAAACAAACUAGAGAGAGGAGGAAAAAAAUCGAAAACAAGAAAAAAAAUUCAAAAAUCACACAAUCGACUGUUAAGGUCUGAUCCUGUCGAGCCCCAAAUCACCACGACCAUAGAAAGUUUCUUAGAACAAGGUAAAUUUUCUAUAGUUAAACAUUGAAUUUUUCAUUUGAAUAUUUUUGUUAAUAUGUGGAUUAUAUGUUGUUAUUAUUGAUGUAAAAUCAACAUUUUUAAUG